rnacentral:lncRNA from 1 species
UUAAAUCAAUCUAGUGUGCCGGUUAACCACACGCGCUCCACUAACUGACAUAAGCAAAGUGCAAAGUGUAAUUUCAUGGGUUCGCACCAAAUUCACAUUUUCCUAAGUAACUAAGAUUGGGUAUUAAUAGGAGUUUAGUUACUUAGUAUUUAUCAUUAAUACUUUUAAUGAAGGGAGAAUUAUAGUCCUUGUCCUACCCGUUCGGCUAACNNNNNNNNNNNNNNNNNNNNNNNNNNNNNNNNNNNNNNNNNNNNNNNNNNNNNNNNNNNNNNNNNNNNNNNNNNNNNNNNNNNNNNNNNNNNNNNNNNNNNAUAUAUAUAUAUAUAUAUAUAUAUAUAUAUAAUUAUUAUUAUUAUUAUUAACUUAUAAUAUUAUAAAGUAUCAGGGUUGAAUUUUAAUUUUUAAAAUUCUAAGGGCUUAACUUGGAAUUAAAGUAUUCAUAAGUGAAAACUUUACAAAUUCCAAAACUUGAGGGCAAGUUUUUGAAACUAUUCAAAACUUUUCAUUUCAUAACUUAUGAGUUUAAUGGUUCAUUAAAAUGAAGACUCUUCAUUUUUUUUAUGUAACAUCUUAUUCUUUAAUAACACUUUUAAAGAAGUGACUCUUAAACAUUCAUAACUUGAGGACAAGUUAUGGAGUCAUAAUACUAUUUAAUUAAGAAAAACUCUUCAUUUUUUAUGUAACCUAUGGCACUUUUAUGAGUUUUAAGAUUCAUAAAUGUGACAUUUUAUGUAACAUGAGGACAAGUUACAAAAACACAUUUUAUGAACUACCUGUAGAUUAAUUAGGAUUGAAAACAACUAAAACACAAUUUUUUCAUUAAUCUAAACUAACUCAUAAAUCAAGGUAACAUAAAACUCUUGGUAAUCCAUAACUUAUGGACAUGAAUGCUUGUUUUAUGAUGAAACUUUUUAUGUUCCAUAACUUAAGAUUAAGUUAUGGAAUUCUUUAAAACAUUAACACCAAAUUUUGUAACUCCAUAAAAACUUUGAAUCAAUUUUUUUUAAAACCUUUUCAUACCCAUAACUUAUGGAGAUUUCAAAAGAAGAACUCUUUAGAUCAAACUUUUAAAACUUAUAAAAUAAUCAUAUCAUUUUAUCUUUUACUAAAUUUGACAUAAUUCAACUUAUAUAUCAAAUGAUUCAAAUUUUAUAAAUAAUUAGUUUUUCACAAAAAACAAGUAAUUAUCUUAAAAUUUGACAAACGUCAUGUUUUUUUUUCCUUUUUUUUCAUCUUUGAAAAUUUGGCUCUGAUACUAGUAUUAGGUUUUGAGCAUUCUAACACUCCUAAGUGUACAUGCAACCCUAAAUACCUUGGAUCUAUGUUUUCUCUAUUAUACAUACAAAUAUGAAUAUCCAAGGUAUUAUCCUAACUAGCAUACCAAAAUAUUGAUACUACGGAAAUAAAAUAGAUAGAAUACAUGCCUUGUUGUUGUAACUUGUCUUCGUGAAGCUUGAGUGCUAGUGCCCCNAAGUGUGACACCUCAAAUGGUUCACACAACACCAUGAACACUUGGAAUAAUCUUGAGAAUAAGGAUACUUUGGUUCUCUCUAGUGAAAUCGGCCUUGCCCUUUUGUGUACACACACUAGUCUCAAUUUCACCAACGAAGGACAUCUUUAUAUAGUGUGGAGAUUAGGGUUAAACCCUAAUACCCAUGACCUUUCAUUUCAUAUGAUCCAUGGGUUAAACACUCCAUGGACUAUCCAUGAAAGCUUAGCCCAACCUAAAUGAACUUGGCCCAUCAGACAUAUACAUCUAAGAGUCCAUAUUUAAUUAGUUCCUUUUGAUCACUUAAUUAAUUGCAAAUUAAUUCUUGAUCCAUACUAAUUAAAUAAUAUGAUUAUAUAUUAAAAUAUUAGAACUUAUAAUAUAUUAAUAUAAAUCACUAGUAUCCUUUUUCCUCAUCUUGUCUAUCCAAUUGUCCCGAUUCCAUUCAACCCAAAUGGACAAUGCCGCGUCGGGUCUAGUCUUACCAAUUAUAGUUAUGGACUUAGACAUUAAUUUAACACGUUUUUGGGAAGGAGUUUACUUGAUGAAAUACCGGCUUUACUCAGCUAGAGUUUCUGCUACAAGAUUAAAAACUUCGGGGCUUACUUUGGGUUAUAGAUAUGAUAUCGAGGCUUCGGGGGGUUGUAAGUACGUUUGUGGGAGUGAAAGAAGUGAUAAAGUGUGAAAAGUGUUCUAUUUCCGAUAGCGAAUUACUUGACUCGAUGGAUGGAGGUAGAGCCCUCCAACUCAAGCACGAAAUCAAAAUAGAGGAGUGAAAACCGGAGAAUCUCGCACCCUUUAUAUAGGUGCAAGGGUUCGGUCCGAAGGGGGGAGGAGGCGACACGUGUUCGAACAAGCGGCGAAGGGGAGAGCAGGUGGCGGCUACGGAUGCGAGGUGCGUCGGUUUCUCAUUGGGUCACAUCUUUUGCUGAAUCAUCGACGGACACAAGUCAGACACGGGGCGAUCUCGCAUGUGAGGUGAUGUGCUAGAUCCUAGCCAUGCGAAUUUUCCCGGUUUUCAAGAUUUUUCGGUUAUUAUGCCUAAAACUUGCAAAAUUCAUAAGAUUCACAUAUGAGCUCCGUUUUCGACGUUAAUUAUAUGCACGUGUAGGUGAAAUUAUACUCUAUGACUUUUCUUUAGAUUUCGUAGGCUAUUUUUGAAUUUAUUUUUAAUAUUAUUAUUUUUAACAAACCUGGAAACAAAAAUCUGUUUCAUAACUUAUUUAUCCGAGGUCCAUUUUCGUCUGUCCUUUUACCAUUGUACUACUAUUGACGACACCUACGAUUCUCAUUUAGGUUGUGUUGGCUAAAAAUCAUAGGAUCUUUAUUUCAAGUUUUUAGCUGUAUACUGUUAUACUGAAUUUUAGAAAAAUAAUAACUUCCUCAUACGAAGUCAGAUUUUGACGUUCUUAUUAUAAGAGUUCUCGGUUUAACUUAUUCUACAACUUUCAUUCAGAUUGUUAAGGUUCAAAAGUCUUUUAUUGAAAAUUCACUUUUUACGCUGAACAGUGAUUUGCCCAUUUUGUCGCGGAUAUUCGUUUGGUCACAACUACUUCUUUAUAACUCGGAUUUUAGUGUUCUUGAUAUUUUUGAAAACCUUAUUACAAUCUCUAUCACUUUAUUCACCCCAAUCAAGAUUAUUUAAUACUUCCUUUUUGAGGGUCGAUUAUGUAAAUAAACAUAGUAUACAAAAAUUUCUCUUUAUUAUUUUAAAAAGAUCUAUAAAUUUAUCUAUACUAUUACACAGUUUCAAAAUAACAGGUUUUUACAUAUUGAUAUUGUAACACCAAGAUUUCCAAAAAUAAAAUUUUCAUUUAAUUAAUCAAUUUAAUAUUAAAACACUUGCUUAAAAUCUUAUUCACAUUCAAAUUACAAAACGUAGUUUCAUUUCCGUUAUAAAAGAAGACCAGGAUCCUCCAAAACACAACUCUUUCUUCGGUGUGUACAAUCGAACCGUUGCCAUCCCGCGUUACUGUAAGAACCUGAAACAACAUAACAUAAACAACGUAAGCACGAAGCUUAGUGAGUUCCCCAAUAUACCUUACGCACAUACGCCUUUCCAGGCCCUGACCUUCCGGUCAACUGUACAAUGCCUUCCGGCCCAUGAGAUACUCGCCUUCCGGCCCAUAAGAUAUUUGCCUUCCGGCCCAUAAGAUAAUUGCCUUCCGGCCCAUAAGAUAAUUGCCUUCCGGCCCAUAAGAUAAUUGCCUUCCGGCCCAUACACAUAUAUAACACAUAAUACAAAUACUCUAACACAUAAAGCACAUAUAUCAUAUAUCAACCUGCCUUCCGGCCCGUAACAUAUUCUAACACAUAAAGCACAUACACCAUAUAUCAUACCUGACCUUUCUGUCACAUAAUACCUUGCCUUCCGGCCCAUAUAUAAGCAUGUAUAUCACGCGUAGCAGCUAACUUUCCAUUUAUAGCAUAUAAACAUAACACAUAACAUACUUGACCUUCCGGUCACACAAUCAAACCCUUCCGGGUGAAGUAUAGUGAGAAGACUCACCUCGCGGACACUGGAAGAUAGCAACUCCUAAAAUCCCUUGCACUUGAUCCUCCGAGCUACAAGCUCCCUGUAACAUCAUAUAUCCCUUAUUAAUACUUCUAUCUUCCACGUUAACUGACCCUAAGAAAUCACACCAGUCAACUCUGGUCAACAGUCCAUUGUCAGCUCGACUGGACUCGGCGAGUUCCCUGGCGACUCGGCGAGUCUGGUCGUCCUUCAAUCCUCUAAGAUUCCCCUUCUACUCGUCGAGUAUCCUCUUUGACUCGACGAGUCACUCCUGGAAGAAUCGCGGGGCCACCCCGACUCCACUCGCCGAGUCUGAAGAACAACUCGGCGAGUCCCAGUGAAUCUUCAAGCUACUCGCCGAGUCUGAUCAUCCGACUCGGCGAGUCCACGCCAUGCAGUCGAUCAAACUGCUUCCUGAGAUACAUAUUUUCCCGAAUAUACAAACAUAGGACCUUCUGGACCUCUAAGGGGUACUAAUACAGGGUUAUAAACGUUGGAUAGUAACACAACAAUCCAUCUAAUCCCAAAUGGGUUUCAUAAACCCUAAAUUCGUGUACACAUCAAAAUAACAGGAAUGAUCCGAAACAUAACCUGAAAACGUACUCUCUGUGUCCCCAAACCUCAGAACUCGACCCCCUUGCUCUUCCUUUGGCCAAAAUCCUUCCUCUUCUUGCACCACAAUUCCUUCAAAGUCAAUAAUGGCCUUCAAGUUUGCUCUAGAUGCCACAGUCGUUUAGGGUUCUCCACAAUCGGCCAAAAGACGUGAAAUGACGACAUAACAACCCUUAUAUACGACCCAAUACGAAACGGCUAGGGUUUCCGCUGAACAGCGUCGACUCGCCGAGUCCAUAUCUGGACUCGUCGAGUCCAGUCGUGAACCCGCGACCAAACCUGCGACCCUACUCGGCGAGUCUGGCUCCAACUCGUCGAGUCUCCCCUUUAAAACACCCCCAAAAUGCAACUUAACAAUACUUGAGAUUUUGGGCUGUUACAAUUCUCCCCCACUAGAAUUAGACUUCGCCCUCGAAGUCUCACUCUGAAAAUAGCUCUGGCUGCUGCUCCCGCAUCUCACGUUUCGGCUUCCCUAGACACUACCGAUCUCUCCCGAGGCCGCUACUGAACCAAUACCAGAGGUACCUCCUUGUUCCUCAGAACCUUGAUCUUCCGAUCUCCGACGGCCACUGGCCUCUCGACGUAACACAGGCUCGCAUCCACCUAAUCGUUCUCUAGUAGAACCACUGCUGACUCAUCCGCUAUACACCUCUUCAACUGCGACACAUACCAGUGUCAUGGAUCCGUCCCAAUUCCGUUGACAGCUCCAAACGAUAGGCCACCCUUCCUACCUUCGCACCUUCACGAAAAGACCCAACAUACCGGGGCCCCCCAUUUACCCCUCUUCCUAAAUCGAAGCACCCCGUCAGAAAUACGAAGUCGCUGACCUGAAUCACAUGCUCGUAACGGCGUCUGCCUGCAUAACUUUCCUGUUAACUCUAGACGAUCACUAACUCUCUUUAACCUGCUGAGUCUGCUUUGUCAACUAAAGUACGAACUCUGAACUGCUCAUCACUCUCUGUAAUCGGAAAUUACCCAAGAUGCACUCUGCUCCAAAUCUCAACGAUCACUCAACCCAUAAGGGUUAGGAAACCCUGAACCACCGGAUCCCCGAUCCAAAGCCCACUUUGCCCAUUCUGGACCGACUGAGAGAUCCGUUCUCCCUCUCAGAUCAACUCUCACAAGUUCCCUCUUGCCAUCACAUACACAUACUGAACUAGUCCCAACACCCGCAGGUGGAAAGACCCGAUACACUGAUGAUAUCCUCGAACAUCUCCCAAGAUGAACCACUACAUCCACCCUACACUCUGAUCAGAUUCACACUGAGAAUUUAAAAUUUUCUCUCUCCAUGCAUCCCUUCUGAGCCUCAACAGACAUCCCAACCGGAUGGGUUCCUACUCCACUGCCGCGAACACGAUGCUCAAAACCAUACUCGAAAUACUCUAACCAUAACUCUGCUCUGCAGCUUUCACUUUCGUGAACUUGCACCCCCUUCGGAGUUACAUACCCUCCUCUUUUCCUUUUCCACGGAACCCUCUUGAACAUAAUGCCACUCCAACCGGUGCCACGGUGCUCGCCCCAAGCGACACCACCCUUUUUGCGUAACUGCUAUUCACAUACUCUGGUUCUCAUUGCAGGGGCUCUCAAUCCCAUGCACUCUCUCCACUCAUCAAAAUCACUGCCUCCGCUAAACAAGAUCAAUAACCCGGGGCCAGACCUUCCAAUGCAAUCACACUGCAACAUACGCGAUCCGCAAAUCUCAAACUAAUCCAGCAAUACCAACAGAGUCUCCAGUAUGACUGGACCGACUCUCAUAACACAUACUAGCCACUCGAGGCUAUAUCUCUGUGGGUCCGUACACCCAAACUCUGCGAACCCUCAGGUUCUAACUCUGGGAACCUUCCGGUUCCAGCUCUAGAAACAUGCACAACAUAAUCCCGUGGGAUUAAUGCAGUACAACCCAUCACGUACCUCAAACGUACCAAUACUCUGAUCGCAAAAUUCCGAUUACUUACUCAAGCUUGAUCCCGACCUCCUCUCAGGCCUCCACAAUCAAAUGCCCUAGGUCUGUAUCUCGCCCCGCAUACUCAACACUCGCUCUCGUCGGCCUAUACUUUGCGCUGACAAACACUGCUGAAUCCCAACAGCUAAGCACCCUUACAUACUCAUCGAUCUCCCGGAGAAUUUUACAAUUCUCCCCCACUAAAGCACUGACUAACUGCCACCGAUCGUCAUUAACGACCUUUCAGAACCAUCCUGCACAAAGAGAACAUUUACCCACUGACUGCUUCCCACAAGCGUAAGCAACCCUCAGCAAAACACAUCUCCUCCCUGAUCAAUCCGCUCAAAAGAAUCCGAUCUUUCAAUUAUCCACUCCACAACUGCAGAUGCUACCCGUCAUUCAACCCAGUGCCGCAUCUCCACUAUCAACCCUCACGAACGAUGACCAACGGAAUUCCCAAGCAAUAACCCAUAACCAAACCCACAACCUGCCAAAGGUUGAAUAUCGCAUCGAAAACCGCACAAGGCUACCGGUACCAAAACACCAAACUAUAAUCAUACUAAACCAUCAGGGAACAACGAAUGCCAAGCGAAAACCUGAAGCACCAAUCCAUAACCAUGCCAAACCCGCGAAACAACGAAUACCGCAUCGAAAUCCACACCAGACACCAGCACAAACAAUACGCCACAAUCAACGCAAGCUACUCAAGACAUCAAGAGAGCAUCAUACCCGCAGCUGCCUCCGGCACUGCUCCGUCUCCCUCUGCCGCAAGCCGAUAAGCACGACCCUGAGCCCUUGGGCUCUGCUCCAUCCUGUCCUCCUCCUGAACUCCUCAAGGUGGCCGAUGCUAGAGCCUGCACCGGUCCUGCAGGAAACUGAGGACGGUUGACCCUCAAAUGUCCAACCUGCCGACACUGAUAACAAAUCCUGAAAUCCCGAAUUGGCACUGACUGCCGACAAUCCCGUGCACCAUGCCCCUCCUUUCCGCACUUGCGGCAUGCACCACUGGGCCAACAAGCUCCGGUGCCAUCUCUCUCACACUUCCCACAAGUGUGACCGCUCCGAUCCCCCAUUCUAACGUCUACGGUCAUGGACCGUUUCGGCGCCGACUGCGACUGCAUCGGGGCCUGCCUCAUCUCACGCAACUGCAACUCAACCUCUAACUCACGCCACAUGGCGGCCUCCUGCGAUACCAACACGGUCUCGCGCCUCUGCGCAGACACGAACUGUCUGAUACCCCCCCUUGAGCAUACUCGGAUAUCGGGACAUCUGAGCCUGCUCCGAAGCGAACUCAGGGCAAAACAUCGCCCUCUCAAUAAACAUCCCGGUGCUCUCAGUCACCGACUCCAAAUCCUGCCUCAGCUUAAGGAACUUCCGAGCCAAUUUCUCCUUUUCAUCCCGCGGAACAUAGCGAGUACUGAACAUCCCUCUGAAUUGAUCCCAUGAAACCGCAGCCCUCUGCGCAUCGGAAAAUGACCUCGUGGUCAAUCUCCACCAAUCCUUCGCCCCGAGCCUCAAUAGGUUCAGAGCACACCCCACCCUCUGAUCAGCAGGGCAUAAACUCGUGGAGAAACACCCCUCCAUGUCUGAUAACCAUCUCAUAGCAACAAUCGAGUCCUGAACUCCAUCGAAUGUGGGAGGCUUCGCAUAAUAGAAGUCCCGAUACUGAAAACCCCGACUAGCCCCUUUCUUUGCCGUUGCUACAGCCGCUGUAACCGCCGCGGCAGCCGUCUCUGCGAAAGCCGCAUAUCGCUCAUCAAACUACUUCAAUCAUAGUGGUCCUGAUCGACCCAAACAAUUCUGGCGACUCAGCCCGCAACAAUGCAGCAACCUCAUCACGCCGGAUCUCGCGAAUCCUCGCAUCCCGCUCGCUCGUGCUCGUCCGAUCGAUAACCGGAUAACAAGAUAGCCACAAGCAUCAUCCACUACGAACCAUGGUACUCAUCCCAUGACAUCCCUCCUCAACAUGCUUCGGUGUAUGGUACCUGAACCAUAGCACCACUCCUCAAUCUGCUCCAAUGUAUAGCACUCGAACCACAACAUCUAUCUCAAUCUGUUCCGAUGUAUGGUGCCCUGACCAUAACAUCACUCUGUAUCCGCUCCGAUGUAUGGUAUCCGAACCAUAACAUCACCCCUCAAUCUGUUCCUUAGGACCUUCAGAAUGCCCCCUGUAUCAAGUAUGGGUCCUCUGCUUUCAGUAGUACGGGCCCAUACUACCUGCCACAUCUACCCAUACUUUCCACACGGACCAUCCCAGAGUUCCUAAGUAGCUGAUAAACCUGCUCUUUCACCCAUCUCAUCGCGCGUGCUCGCUUUCCAGCGAAAUCCUCUACUCUACCAGCGCACUCAUCUGGCUAGGUUUACUCCCUAGUCCCUUCCGCUGUCCUCCCACUUCUUUGCUAUCAGCUGCUGAAGAGUUCCUAAUGAUGCCAGCCCUCUACCUCCUGAGUAUCGUCAUACUCACUUGGUAGCUGACUCCCAUCAUCGAUAACUCCACAAAGCACAAAGCAAGCAGCAUUCGAGCAUUGAAGCAUACAUAGGACUCCCCAUCUGUGGUAGCUCCACCUUCUCGGCUCAUCCUCGGAAGUACCUCUGUACCCCGUAGCUUUACCCCUUGUGCGUUCUAACUAGAUACUCUCACUCAUCACAUACACACAAAAGCAUAACGCACAUAUAACAGCAAACCCUAGACUAAGGCAUCACAAAUCAGGCCACUCUAGUCCUAAGAUGUGAAAUACCUAGCCUGUCUCUAGCAUGCAAUAAUGUCUCAUAAAGUGCAUAAUAGAUAUUUCAUAAUACAAAAGUAAGGGUAUUUUGGGAAAUCACCGUUUGGCUCUGGCUGAUUGUACACACUGCUCUUUCUUGCUUUCUCUUUGAACUCUUAUUCACUUUUAGAAAACCAUUUAUUUGGAAAACUUUUUCUUACUUCCUCAGUUUGAGUCCAGAUUUACCCGUAGGCGCGUCCGAAUCCCUCAAACCAAGGCUCUGAUACCAAUUUGUAACACCGUGAUUUCCAAAAACAAAAUUUUCAUUUAAAUAAUCAAUUUAAUAUUAAAAACACUUGUUUAAAAUCUUAUUCACAUUCGAAUUACAAAACAUAGUUUCAUUUUCAUUAUAAUAGAAGACCAGGAUCCUCCAAAACACAACUCUUUCUUCGGUGUGUACAAUCGAACCGUUGCCAUCCCGCGUUACUGUAAGAACCUGAAACAACAUAACAUAAACAACGUAAGCACGAAGCUUAGUGAGUUCCCCAAUAUACCUUACGCACAUACGCCUUCCGGCCCGGAUCUUUCGAUCCACAUAACAUCGCCUUCCGGCCCGGAUCUUUCGAUCCACAUAACAUUGCCUUCCGGCCCGGAUCUUUCGAUCCACAUAACAUCGCCUUCCGGCCCGGAUCUUUCGAUCCACAUAACAUUGCCUUCCGGCCCGGACCUUUCGGUCCACAAGAUAAUCGCCUUCCGGCCCGUACACAUAUAUAACACAUAAUACAAAUACUCUAACACAUAAAGCACAUAUAUCACAUAUCAUACCUGACCUUUCUGUCACAUAAUACCUUGCCUUCCGGCCCAUAUAUAAGCAUGUAUAUCACGCGUAGCAGCUAACUUUCCAUUCAUAGCAUAUAAACAUAACACACAACAUACUUGACCUUCCGGUCACACAAUCAAACCCUUCCGGGUGAGGUAUAGUGAGAAGACUCACCUCGCGGACACUAGAAGAUAGCAACUCCUAAAAUCCCUUGCACUUGAUCCUCCGAGCUACAAGCUCCCUGUAACAUCAUAUAUCCCUUAUUUAAUACUUCUAUCUUCCACGUUAACUGACCCUAAGAAAUCACACCAGUCAACUCUGGUCAACAGUCCAUUGUCAGCUCGACUGGACUCGGCGAGUUCCCUGGCGACUCGGCGAGUCUGGUCGUCCUUCAAUCCUCUAAGAUUCCCCUUCUACUCGUCGAGUAUCCUCUUUGACUCGACGAGUCACUCCUGGAAGAAUCGCGGGGCCACCCCGACUCCACUCGCCGAGUCUGAAGAACAACUCGGCGAGUCCCAGUGAAUCUUCAAGCUACUCGCCGAGUCUGAUCAUCCGACUCGGCGAGUCCACGCCAUGCAGUCGAUCCAACUGCUUCCUGAGAUACGUUUUUCCCGAGAUACACACUCAUGGGACUUCUGGACCUCUAAUCAUCCUAUUACUAGGGUAGAAACCUUUGUAUAACAACAUAAUAAUCCAUCAAAUCUCCAAAUGGGUUUCAUAAACCCUAAAUUCGUGUACACAUCAAAAUAACAGGAAUGAUCCGAAACCUUACCUGAAAACAUACUCUCUGUGUCCCCAAACCUCAGAACUCGACCCCCUUGCUCUUCCUUUGGCCAAAAUCCUUCCUCUUCUUGCACCACAAUUCCUUCAAAGUCAAUAAUGGCCUUCAAGUUUUGCUCCAAAUGCCACAGUCGUCUAGGGUUCUCCACAAUCGGCCAAAAGACGUGAAAUGACGACAUACAACCCUUAAAUACGACCCAAUACGAAACGGCUAGGGUUUCUGCUGAACAGCGUCGACUCGCCGAGUCCAUACCUGGACUCGUCGAGUCCAGUCGCGAACCCGCGACCAAAUCUGCGACCCUACUCGGCGAGUCUGGCUCCAACUCGCCGAGUCUCCCCUUUAAAACACCCCAAAAUGCAAUUUAACAAUACUUGAGAUUUUGGGCUGUUACAGAUAUUAUUUUUUGUUUGGUUGGAAUUGACUUUUCUUUAAUAUAAUUGAAAUUCAGUAGUAGAGUAUAACUCUAUCUUCUCUAUGUUUUUCUGUUUUGAAUAUCAACCGAUCGAUUUCUAUUUGGUAUAGAUUAAUAUAUUCUUUUUGUUGCUAAAAUAUUAUAUUUUACAAGUAAUAAUUUACAAGUUACAUAUAUCUGGUAUCAAUAGAGAAAAGUGGAAGUAUAUUGAUAUUGUGAUUUAAAAAUAUUUUUGUCAUUUUAAAAAAUGAUUACUUGGGAUUAUGUGUAUGUUUAUUCAUUUUAAUUUCCGUAUAGCCAACUUUUGUUUGGUUUUUUUCACGUUUUUUCCUUAGAAAUAUGUGGCUUUUAAUUUAUUUUAAUUAUAUUCAUAUACAUAUAAGCUUUGAAGUAGACAUGAAGGCUCAGUGGUUAGUGGUUACAUGACAAGUCAAUUGUUACGUAUGUUGUCUAAAAGUUCCUAGAAUGCCCUCUUCCAGAUGAGGAAGUUAGAGGUUGGUUGUAAUGAGCUUUUGGAUUCUUUUAGAAAUGGUGUGGUAAAUAUGAAAAAUGCAUCGUUUUUCGUUCUGUUUUUUUACUUCAUGUACACAAUACAAGAUGGUGUUUAUAACCAUGACGUCUUAAAAUUUGAUGUUUUUUGUAGGUAAACAAUCCUAAAAAUGAAAUUGGUUCAACUCGUGAGAUGAGAAAAAAAACUAUUAAUUUUAUACACAACAACAUAGUAGAAUGUUAUAAUUGAGUUUUUAAUGUACAAUAUCCUAAUAAGAAAAAAAAAACCAUCAUCAUGCGAAGCCCGAGAUCAUCUACUACUUAUACAAUUAUUUAAACUUAAAAAGUUAAAUAUAUACCAACCGCGUUUUUUUCUUAAAUACUAAAAUAUAAUAUAUCAAGCUAUUGUGUUUUAGUUUAUCAUGGGUUAGUAAAAAAGUAUUUUGUAAAUUUAUUUUAAUAACAUUUAAGUUAAUAAAUUUAUUAAGUAAUAAGAAUUUUUGUAAAUAACCUUAUAUGUUUUGCUAUAAAUAAACAACCCAAUGUAAGAAUACCACAGAGCUUGUUUUAGAAUAUCAUGUGUUUAUUAUUUAUUAGUGCACAUACAAGCAUGGAUUACAUUUUCAGUUACUUGGGACAUGCCGCAAAUUUACUAUUCCAAUAUUCUAAGUCUAUAUAGAUUUAAUUUAUAUAAAGCAAUAAUAGAAAUAUAAAAUUGCGAUUGAAAAAAAAAAACAAAAUCAUGCACUCUAUGUCCAUAAAAGAACAACCUAAACUGGUCCGGCUUUUGGUUAAGGUAAAUCAAGAAUUUCGAAAUUUCAGUUUCGGUCUAAUUAGUUCAUCAGGUUGUUUGGGUUAGCGCUAUUGCUCUUACAUAUCUUUAUCAUGAAUCUCUCUUUAGAAUGGUACUAAUUUAGUCCAUGUAAUUUAAUUUAUAUUUUUAGACAAGUUUUUAAUAGUAAAGUGGUUACUCUAAACAGACUUAAAGACAUAUAUAAUGGAGUUAGAUAAAAAGUCCACAUGCUUAAGAAAAUGAAAACGUUUUGGAUGUAUUCAAUAUACAUCUUAGGAGUUUCUAGCUUCUAGGUUUCAAGAAAAUGCUCGUAAAAAAAACGAUUUCUUCGGGCAACAGGAGCAUUUAACUUUUAGUCAAUACAAAACGCUACAAAAUAAAAAGCUACAUGGAGAAGCUUUUAACAAAACGCUUCAAAAUUAAACGCUACCAGCUACUCGCUACCAAUUAUCCGCUACUUUUACCAAACACGCUCUUUGAUUACUAGUAUCAAAUUGUUAAAACAUGGACUACGACUCUACAAGUACUGUUGGAGAUUACGUCGAAAAAUCCAAUUUUCUCUAAAGUAUAGGUUAAUACAUAGCAUUUUUUUCUUAGGGUAAAACCGUCAUCGUAAAAAAUAUAACAUGAUUAGUUUUAACUACCCAAUGUUUAAAUGGGAAAUAAAAAGGAAAAAUAAUGAUGACAUUAUGAUAAUUUCAAAUAUUGACAGAACUUGCCAAUUUUUGUAUACGACAGGACCAAAUACGUAAAAUAUUUUACGAAUAUUGAGUCAAAAACAUAAUCUAACACUUUACCAGGCGGUUCUAAUUUAAAACAUAAUUCUCGCUAAAGUUAAUCAUGAUAACAAUGUCCCCCACGUUUUGUAGAUGUUAUUGUUAAUCCAUAACUUAUGGACUUAAAUGCUUGUUUUAUGAUGAAACUUUUCAUGUUCCAUAACUUAAGAUUAAGUUAUGGAAUUCUUUAAAACAUUAACACCAAAUUUUGUAACUCCAUAAAAACUUUGAAUCAAUUUUAUUUAAAACCUUUUCAUACCCAUAACUUAUGGAGGUUUCAAAAAAAGAACUCUUUAGAUCAAACUUUUAAAACUUAUAAAAUAAUCAUAUCAUUUUAUCUGUUACUAAAUUUGACCUAAUUCAACUCAUAUAUCAAAUGAUUCAAUUUUUAUAAAUUAUUAGUUUUUCACAAAAACAAGUAAUUAUCUUAAAAUUUGACAAACGUCAUGUUUUUUUUUUUCCUUUUUUUCAUCUUUGAAAAUGAAACAUUUGCAUCAAUAUAACAAAAAAACAACCCAUGGCUCUGAUACUAGUAUUAGGUUUUGAGCAUUUAAUACUCCUAAGUGUACAUGCAAUCCUAAAUACCUUGGAUCUAUGUUUUCUAUAUUAUGCAUACAAAUAUGAAUAUCCAAGGUAUUAUCCUAACUAGCAUACCAAAACAUUGAUACUAGGGUAAUAAAAUAGAUAGAAUACAUGCCUUGUUGUUGUAAGUUGUCUUCAUGAAGCUUGAGUGCCUAGUGCCCCAAGUGUGACACCUCAAAUGGUUCACACAACACCAUGAACACUUGGAAUAAUAUUGAGAAUAAGGAUACUUUAGUUCUCUCUAGUGAAAUCGGCCUUGCACUUUUGUGUACACACACUAGUCUUAAUUUCACCAACCAAUGACAUCUAUAUAUAGUGUGGAGAUUAGGGUUAAACCCUAAUACCCAUGACCUUUCAUUUCAUAUGAUCCAUGGGUUAAACACUCCAUGGACUAACCAUGAAAGCUUAGCCCAACCUAAAUGAACUUGGCCCAUCAGACAUAUAUAUCUAAGAGCCCAUAUUUAAUUAGUUCCAUUUGAUCACUUAAUUAAUUACAAAUUAAUUCUUGAUCAAUACUAAUUAAAUAAUAUGAUUAUAUAUUAAAAUAUUAGAACUUAUAAUAUAUUAAUAUAAAUCACUAGUAUCCUUUUUCCUUAUCUUGUCUAUCCAUUUGUCCCGAUGACAUGCAACCCCAAUGGACCAUGUCGGGUCGGGUCAAGUCUUACCAAUUAUAGUUAUGGACAUAGACAUUAAUCUAACACGUUUCUGGGAAGGAGUUUACUUGAUGAAAAACCGACUUUACUCAGGCAGAGUUUCUGCUACAUGAUUAAGAACUUCGGGGCUUACUUUGGGUUAUAGAUAUGAUAUCGAGGCUUCGGGGGUUGUAAGUACGUUUGUAGGAGUGAAAGAAGUUAAAAAGUGUGAAAAGUGGUGUAGAAGAAGAGUGAAAAUCGUAGAAACUCGCACCCUUUAUAUAGGUGUAAGGGUUCGGUCCGAAAGGGGGAGGAGUUGACACGUGUUCGGACAAGUGGCGAAGAGGAGAGCAGGUGGCGGCUUCGGAUGUGAGGUGCGUCGGUUUCUCAUUGGGUCACAUCUUUUGCCGAAUCAGCGACGGACACAAGGCGGACACGGGGCGAUCUCGCAUGUCAGGUGAUGUGCCAGAUCCCAGCCAUGCGAAUUUUCCCCGUUUUCAAGAUUUUUCGGUUUUUGUGCCUAAAACGUGCGAAAUUCAUAAGAUUCACAUAUGAGCUCUGUUUUUGACGUUAUUUAUACGCACGCGUAGGUGAAAUUAUACUCUACGACUUUUUUUUAGAUUUUGUCAGCUAAUUUUGACUUUAUUUUUAAUAUUAUUAUUUUUAACAAACCCAUAUACAAAAAUAUAUUAAAUAUUUAUAACUUAUUUAUCCGAGGUCCAUUUUCGUCUCUCUUUUUACCGUUAUACUACUAUUGACGACACCUACGGUUCUCGUUUAGGUUGUGUUGGCUAAAAAUCAUAGGAUCUUUAUUUCAAGUUUUUAGCUGUAUACUGCUAUACUGAAUUUUAGAAAAAUAAUAACUUUCUCAUACGAAGUCAGAUUUUGACGUUCUUAUUAUAAGAGUUCUCGGUUUAACUUAUUCUACAACUUUCACUCAGAUUGUUAAGGAUCAAAAGUAGGGCUGUUUACUAAUUGGAUAAAACCGAAUUGUCCAAUUGGACAAUUUGGAUUGGACUAUUUGGUUCAGAUAUUCGGAUUUUUGGAUUGAUUUUCAACAAAACCGAAUUAUUAUUUUGGAUUUCGGAUUGGUUUUGAUUUAUAAAAUAUGAACCGAAUAGUCCACAAAAACCGAAUAAUUAUUUAAUUAAUUAUUUAUUUAUAAUAUAUAUCUAUAGUUAUUUAUUAAUUUUGUUAUUUAUUUUUUUAAAUAUGUUCAAUACGUUUUACCCGAUAAAAAAAAACAUUAAUAUGCAUUUUCUCUCAAAAGUUUUCUAUCUAUAAAAUAUUUAACUAUAAUAUAUCUUCUUAGUAGUUGUUUAUAAAUUUCAAAUCACAACUAAAUUAUUUGUUUUCGUUUAUUGUGUAAAGUUGGAUAAUACAUAAUUAUAUGUCGUUUUAAAAUGUCUUGGUUUUUGAAAACCGAAUUAUAAAAACCGAUCCAACCGAAUUGUAAUUGGAUCGGAUCGGAUUGGAUUUGAAUAUAGUUUGGACUAUUCGGAUCCAUGUUUUGAGAACCGAAAUCAAUUUGGAUUCACUUGAUUGGAUCGGAUCAAACCAAUCCAUCCAAACGAACACCCCUAAUCAAAAGCCUUUUAUUCAAAACUCACUUUUUAUGUUGAACAGUGAUUUGCCCGUUUUGUCGCGGAUCUAUGUUUGGUCACAACUACUUCUUUAUAACUGGAAUUUUAGUGUUCUUAAUAUUUUUGAAAACCCUGUUACAAUCUCUGUCACUUUAUUCACCCCAAUCAAGAUUAUUUAAUACUUCAUUUUUGAAGGUCGAUUAUGUAAAUACACAUAUUGAUAUUAUUUUUUAAAAAGAACUAGAAAUUUAUCUAUACUAUUACAUAGUUUCAAAAUAAUGGGUUGUUACAUAUUGAUAUUAUUUUUGUUUGUUUGGAAUUGACUUUUCUUUAUUAUAAUUGAAAUUUAGUAAUAGACUAUAACUCUAUCUUCUCUAUGUUUUUCUGUUUUGAAUAUCAACUGAUCGAUUUCUAUUUGGUAUACAUUAAUAUAUUCUUUUUGUUACUAAAAUAUUAUAUUUUACAAGUAAUAAUUUACAAGCUACAUAUAUCUGGUAUCAAUAGAGAAAAAUGGAAGUAUAUUGAUAUUGUGAUUAAAAAAUGUUUUCGUCAUUUUAAAAAAUCAUUACUUGGCAUUAUGUGUAUGUUUAUUCAUUUUAAUUUCCGUAUAGACAACUUCUGUGUGGUUUUUAUUCACAUUUUGUCCUUAGAAAUAUGUGGCUUUUAAUUUAUCUUAAUUAUAUUGAUAUACAUAUAAGCUUUGAUGUAGACAUGAAGGCUUAGUGGUUAGUGGUUACAUGACAGGUCAAUUGUAACACCCUGUUUAUUUAUUAAAUAAAUAAAUAAACUUAUAAAGAUAUAGUAUCCCUAAAAUCAAUAAUUUUGUAGCAGGGUGUUAGUUACGAGGAGCUAUUUGUCAUAAUUUGGAAGUUGAGGGUUAAAAGUGUAAGCUCUGGACCCCGUUUAUAAAUAUUUAUGAAGGCAGGGACUCCAUGGUAAUUAUUUGGAAUUAAUUGAAAACGAAAUGAUGUGGAAGGGCUGAAUAUGUCAUAACUAUGAUAUUGGGUGUUGUCUGGUAAAUUUUGUACCUAAGAUGUAAAGGAUUUAAUGCGGAGGGUUUAAAUGGUAAUUAUCGGAUUUCAUUUGAAGAAGAUUUCCAAAGUUAGGGUAGAAAGGGUAAAAUUCGGAUUACAUUUGAUAAGAUCUUAUGGGGAGGGACUAGAAUGGUUUAAAGGGAAAAGUUAAAUAUGAACACUGGACAACUCCCGUCACCCUUGCUUAAGCCGAGUAUAUAUGCAUCAUAAACUCCCGUUUCAAACCCUAAACCUAAAAGUUGAAGACAACCGCCGUCGCCGGAGUUCUCCAACCGCCACCAUCCUCGUUCUUCGUCUCCGGCAUCGUUACCACCUGACCACUCCCCUCUCUUUCUCCGAUAUGGUGAGUUUUGGAUGACAACCAACGUCCAUGCUGGUGUCUAGAGUUAUUGCUGCUUCAUUCGCCGUUGGGGGCUCGUGCGACGCCUCCUUCUUCCGUCGCCGUAGCUCCAAGCGAUUCGGCGUUCCGGUUACUCUCCAGCCGCCGGAUGCCACCAUAUAGGGUGGUUGGGUUCACUUCUAGCACGUCGGGUGUAUUGUUGCCACCUUUCUGUGUCAACCACCGCCGCCUCAAGAGACUGAAGGGUUGUCGCCGCUGUUCCCAAUUGUUGAAGGCGAAGCCGCCGCCUAUGUUGGCUACCAUUUUGGUGUUGAUUCGCUCGUGCUCCUGCCACCACCAUGAAGCUCUAGGUGGGUGGUGGUGUAUCUGUUUUGGGUCCUUAUGUGUGUAUUGUUUAUUUCUGCAAUGGAGUGGGUUUCGUGUGGGGUUGUUAAUGGCCGGAAAAUGGAAGAGAUACCCACCAUGGUCGCCAGCCAUGGUGGCUUCCACCAUCUACCGCCACCGGCUACCAUAAGGUGGUGGUGUGUGAUAUUUAUUUAUUAUGUGUGUGUGUGUGUGUUUAUUUUGAGUAUUAUCAUUGUAAUGUGUAAUUUACAAUUGGAAUAAUGAAAGGAAAAAUCAAAACACCAUCGUGAGGUGGUGGCUGCCGCCUCCUGCCGCCACCGGCCGCCGUGUCGGGUGGUGGUGUGCUUUGCCUCGUAGUGUGGAUUCGUUUGGGGUGCUUCAAACCCUAAUGGGCCUAAAGAAGCUCAAAUGGGCCCAAUGAAGCUUAAUGGACUCUAAUGGACCCAAUAAAACCCUAAUGGGCUCAAUAAUAUUUUAGUGGGCUUAAUAGGCCCAAUAAAGCCCUAAUUGAUCUAAAAGCCCAACAAAUUAAUAAAUGGGCUAGUAUUUGGGUUGGAACCCUAAUUAGGGUUUGGAAAACCCUAAUGCCAUCAAAACCCUAAUUUUGGGGAAUUAAUCGAGACACACGAGACUUAUUAAUAACUUGGAAUAUUAAAUAAUAAUCAUUGACAUAAAUUAAUCUAAGCAAUAUUGGACUUAAUGGAUUAAGUCCUUAAUGGGUUAAGUAGGAAACUUAACGCUAAUCAUCAUUUGAUGUGAAACCCUAAUUCUGCUUGGGUUUAUUGUUGGGCCUUUCUAUUGGGCCUUAAUGAUUGGGUUAUUAAAUGGGUUAUCCAAGAUCAAGCAAAUGGUCUAGAGUAAUUUAAUAGGCCUAGGGUAAGGCCCAUGUAAGGGGCUUGGGCCUAAUUUGGAAAAUUGGGCCAUAUAUGGGCCAUAGUUUGGGCCUUAAUGAUUAUCUGAUGUUGGGCCUUAGAAUGAGACCAUGUAUAGGCCUAGGCCCAAUUUGUAAAAUUAGGCCAUGUGUUGGGCUUUGAUUCCAAAUUGACUUUGGGCCUAUGGUUCGGGCCUUGGGCUUGAAUAAGCCAAGCUAGGGGUAUUGUAGUAAUUACCCAAAGAAUGUACUUAUGGUUAUGUAUUGGGACCCAAUUAUUAAUUGGGUGUUAUUUUGGUGUUGACAGUUCGGGAAUCUGUCUGCCAGCAGCUAGGGUCGAGUCUGCGGGACUUUAGCAAGUGUGGGAUUGCGUCUUCGGGACUUCAUCAUUGUGAGGUGAGUUCCCUUCCAGUAGCGGUGGGUCUACGGCCACAAUGUUGGCCCACCGGUAGGAGUUUUAUGUUAGAUGAUUGUCUUUGUGAUAUCAUCUAGGCUUGCUACUACCUGAUAUGUUAUAUGCUGGCAUGGUAUGUUAUAUGUGAUAGUAGUAGAGUUCGGUUGUUAGGAAAGAAGGGUAGGUCAGACACCCCAGAUAUGUCUGACAGUAUGUGAUGAUAUGUUUAAAUGCUGGCAUGAUAUGUUAUAUGUGAUAGUGGUAGUAGGAGGGGAAUAGUCCCUAAGUUCGGUUGUUAGGACCGAAGGGUAGGUCAGACACCCCAGAAUUGCCCGACAGUAUGUAUGCUUUGUAAUUGUGUGGUAUGUGGUAUGAUGGGGGAACUCACUAAGCUUCGUGCUUACCGUUUUCAGUUUUGGUUUCAGGUACUUCGUGUUUAAAGGAAUGGAGUCGGCUUGAUCGCAGCGCAUCACACUAUGUUUUCCGCACAUGAGAUCUUUGGGAUUACACUCUGAUAUGGUUUUAUGAUAAUAUGUUUUGAUUAUUGACACUUUGGUUUGACACGAGAUAUUAUUGUGAAUGUUUUUACACUGAUGGUUUUAUGUAAUAACUUAUUUAAAAAUAAAUGUUUUGGCCUUGAAAAUUGGGAUGUUACAAGUUGGUAUCAGAGCCUUGGUUUGAGGGAUUCGGGCACACUCUCGGGUGUGUCUGAACUCAAACUAAGGACUUGGUAUGAAAAUUUUCAAAAGUAAAAUCAUUUUAUAAGAGAAGUUUGAAAAGAGAAAAGAACUUUGGAAAGAACAAGGUGUGUGAUGCGUGUAAUCAUCCGAGCUCAAGUAAGUCUUCCCCAAGAUAUCCAUACAUGUUAUGAGAUUUUAUGAUAUGAUAUGAUUAUGAGAACUGCAUGCUAUACUAGGGCUAAGGAUCUAGGGAGGAUGCCUUAUAUGCCUAUUGUAUGUGCUUGUAGACUUGCGUGUUAGUACUGAUUAGUCAGUAAUUGGAUAGCCUGUUUAGGUUAUGCCUGAUUGUAUGGGCCUUUGAAUUGCAUGUACAGAUUCCUGAUUAGAGGAUAGAAUGAUUUGAUUGGAAUAUGAUGGUUAGAUUUUUCAUUGUCUGAAUGUUGCUUGCUUUGUGCUUUGUAGGACUCUUAGUAAUGUGAGUUAGCUAUUAAGCGAAUAUGCUAAGUCACAUGUGGCACAGGCUGGAUAAUCUCAGAGUGAUAGAUUUGACUUUAUUGUGCAGCUCUCAUUUGAGUCUAACCGUUAUAAGGAUGAGUCUGUUACUUGAAGGAUUAUAUGAUCUCUGUUGCAUGUGACUAUAUUCAUAAGGUAGCUACUUGACAUUACUGGGAAUCUUUCAACAUCUGAGGAUUGGGUGAGAUGGGGAACCUAGGAAAGCCUAGGAUAUGUUUCAGUGGGUUAGUAGUGAGGCUCAGUGAGACUUGGGUGUACCGGUUGAGGAAGUCACUCGGAGGAUCUGGGAGGAUUGCUGAGGAAAGUAUGGAUAGGUGUGGAAGGUAGUAUUGGGCCUGUACUACUGAAAGCACAAGAUUCAUACUCGAAUCGGUGAGAGUCUUGGAGAAUCUGAGAAGCUUCAGGGAAGAGUUUGUGACCCAGUUUGGGGACAGAGGAUGUUCUAGUUGUUGCAACUUAGCCAUUGGCAAGUUAUUUAGUAAGCGUGGCAGGGUGUCAGACCUUGAAGGAUAUGAUUCCCAUGAAGUUACAGAUGCGAGAUAGAUUUGGAGCACUCUGGAAAGAGAGGGUUGUGCUAUGUGGGUAUAGUAGAGGGUCCCAGGAAGAGACCUAUGACUUCUGAUCGUCGAGUGAAGGGCCAGCAGGGCCAGAGUCAGUGCAACAUGUACAGGAAAGUGCAAAAGGGAGUUUGUUACUCCAAGGGUUUGGGCUACUAUAGGGUAGUGGGGUUGGUCAUGUCAGCUGGAGGUAACUAGGAUUCCUCCAGAUGUUGCGGGUAUGCCAUCUUUUAUUGCUACUAGAUGGAUUUUGGGGAUACGUAUCGCGUUGGAGUUAUGAGUGAGUUGGAUAGGUCAGAUCUCGGGUCGGUUUUCUGCUAGUGUUUGGUUAUCAAGGAUCGUAUAUGCCAUCAUGCAUGCCGAAAAGUCGUUGAUGGACCCACAGAGGGACGCAUCUUGCGGAGUGGGGUCCGCAUGUACCGUUAUCAUUCCAGAUCUUUUUUGGGAUCUGUACAGGAGUAUUGUUUGAAAGAUCCUAGGUCAGGGUUAGAGUGAUAGAUCUCCGGUGAAGUCAGCAUUUAGGGGUUCUAUCAUUGUUCAGGCAUGGUCGGUAACUGUCCAUGGAUGAACUUUGAAGUUCAAGGCACUACCGUUUCUAGGACAGAGCUGGUAACAUGAAAAAGGUAGUGUCAUUCGUGGGUGUUAGAUGCAUAAGUGGUUGGUCAUCGCAUGUUCAGGAGAAUUGUAUUUUCGCAUGGGCCGUGUUCGGUUAGAGUUCAGUGGUGCUGCUAGAUUGGAAAUGAGAAUGAGGAUUCGUCAGCCAGAGUGAAAAUUGAGACCUUCAAUUGACAACAUGUUAGAUGGAUCGAGGUGUCAGACUGGAUCUGAUGUAAAGAGUACUCAUCAAGAUUUCCGAGGAUGUGAGAUCUUAAGGUUUAAUCUGUGAUUAAACGCUAGCAUUGGCAGGCACAGGUUGUCAUCGGAGGGAUAUUCGAUAGCGAGAAGGAUUGGAAAUCCUUCAAUUUUUGCGUGCAGUGAAGACUUAGUCGAGUCUAAGUGGGGGAGAGACUUUUUAUAAAGUUUUCCAAAUGUGAGUUCUGGUUGCGGGGGGUGCAAUCUCUUGGGCACCUUGUCAACCAAAAGGGUAUUCUAGUUGAUCCGGCCAAGAUAGAGGCCGUGAUGUAGUGGGAGAUUCUCGGGUCUCCGUUUGAGAUUUGGAGUUUCCUGGGUCUAGCAGGUUACUACCGGAGAUUUACAUGGGACUUCUCUGAGAUUGUGGUUCCUUUGACCCGACUGACCAAGAAGUCGGUGGCCUUUCAUUGGGGGCUGAGCAGUAGGUAGCCUUCGAGACUCUCAGAUAGCGGUUGUGCGAGGCACCGAUUCUCACCCAGCCAGAGGGUGUAGAUGAUUUCGUGGUUUCUUGUGACGCUUUGAUCACGGGCAUGGGUACGGUACUAAUACAAUGGGGUCACGUGAUAGCAGGUUUCAGGAACCAGGUUAGAUUUCCGGUUAGCACUCAAAUUCAGUUGUGUGUUAAGUCGAGUGCGUGUUCGACCCAGUAUGGAAAGUGUUGUAAGACUACGGGGGUAGUCGUAGCAUUCACUAGCAGUCAGAUAGUUUGGAAAGUGUUGUAAGACUACGGGGGUAGCGGUAGCAUUCACUAGUGAUCAGUUAGUAUUGAGAAUGUUGUAAGACUACAGGGGUAGCCGUAGCAUUCACUAGUGGUCAGUUACCACGGGAAGUGUUGUAAGUCUGCGGGUGUAGCCGUAGCGUUCACAAGCAUUCAAAUAGUAUUAAGUGUUGUAAGUUUGUGGGUGUAGUCGUAGCAUUCACUAGUAGCCUGAUAACGAUGUAGUGUUAUAAGUGUCACACCCCAAAACCGAUAACGGCGGAAUACGUUUCGGGGUGGAUGACGUUAGUGAACAGUAUCAUCAUAAUUGCAUAAUAGUAAAAACAAGGUACAUACAACCAUUUCAUGUACAUAGUGAAUUUAAUUACAAGUGUGUUCUUUAAUGUUUAACAAUCACCCAAAAGUAAAUCAAAAAUAAGAGAUGGGUCUUGUGUGCUCCACCUUCUCCAAAAAUGUUGCGUCUGUACCUGUCUAUCUCUGACCUGAAGAUACAAGUUAUUUUGAAAACGAUUAUCAGCAUAAAGCUGGUGAGUUCAUGAGAAUUUAGUGUGUAUUUUGUAUACAAAGCAUUAGUACGAAAAAUACGUCCCUUUAUUUUCUUAAGCAGUAGAAACUUAGAGAAAAUCCCAUGUUUUUCCAGAAAAUACAAUGUAAGAGACAAUCUGUGAAAAAUAUGCAUUCUUCAUUUCUUUGAAACAGUUUAUUGUAAACGUAUAUUGAGAAAUCCCCAAAUAAUAAUUGUGAUAGCAUAGGUUAAGCUUGUAAUCAGUGAUAGAGGUGCAAGCUUCUUUUAGUAAUAGAUACUUACUUACUUCGGGAUGUAGUUUAGCAUUUAGUGUAGUAUUUUAAAGAAGUUGUAGAGUUUUCUCGGUAUAUUACUAAUAGUGAGGAUAAUAGAGAAUCCCAUGACCUUCCCAGUCAUGCACAAUAUAGUGAAGUAGUGGCAUCCCUGGGCCUGAACGGCGCAGACUGAAAUUAACAGUCGGGAUGUAAUAGCGUCUACCCCGUAUAGAUCUAUACAUGAAGAGUCGUCUCCUUGCUGGAACACUCCGGGCGUAGUGGAUAGCGAAUAGAGGAUCUCGUAGAGGGUUAGUGUAUUAUUGUUUGUUAAGUGUUUUCUCUAUUGUUAUAGUGUAGAAAUCUUUUAGUAUUGAUCAUAGUAUAUUCUCUUACUAGUGUAUCGUCUAGUAAUAGUGAGUAUUAUAGUGUAGAUAGUAAUGACUUUAGCGAGUAGUAGCUGUAGCAACCGUAACCAUACCUAUUAUGGUUAUCUUAGUGGGGAUGGUUCUGGGCGCGUUAGUGACGUUAGCAUUAAGUGAAAGCAGUAACAUUCGUAUCCCAUACUGAUAUACAGAUUAUAUAACUAAGAAAUCAACGACAGUCGGACAGAUAACUACUACCCUAAGCCCACAAUCAAACAAGAACAGGAAAUAAGGCGAGAUAUCGGUCCUAAGUCCUCCACGUCUUACUUAUAUAAAUAUAUCAGAGUGGUUACAUUUUAUAAGUAAAUUGAUUUAAAUAAAAGUAUUUUCCAAAAGAACAUUUAAAAUCUGAUUCACUGUUUAAAAAUAGUUUGAAAAGGGUGAAACCCGUUUAUAAGGCAUAGGGACAAAUCCCAUGUGAUUUGAACUAAGGGUAGUGAAUCACAUGUGAUUAAUCCUUGUAACGCGGAAUUCGUUCUGUAAAACUUUACAUAAACAUUUAUAAGCAACUUGUAUCUCCCCCCUAAAACAUUUAAAACAUUUGAAAGGUUCAUUAAAGGGGUAUGAACUCACCUGAAAUCGCAGAAAUCGGGUGAAUCGGGUAAGUCGGGUAAAAGUGUCGAUUGAGCGUUUGGUACCAAAUAACCACUUGAGCACCUCUGAGGACCCUAAUGUCAUAUGAAAUACGUAUACAAGAAGUUAAUCAUCUUAUGCUUUUCAUUAUAGUAUUUGGACAUUCUAGCAUCGUUUUCGGGGUUUUAAGGCCUAAAAAGGGUUCCCGGGAGUGGUACAAGGCCAUGAAUGAUUUACGGGAGGGUCCAUGAACUCACUCUCUUAGAGUUUAUGGCCUAAAAGGCCUUUCUUUGGGAGUUUAUGGCCGUAAGCCCCCUAGGCUUGGCCGUAAACUCUUGUGACACUCCAAAAUGUAUGAUUAGGGCCUUAUUUCACUUCCUUAAUUUAGUGGUGUGUGUUUUGGACUAAUAGGGAAGGAUUAAACAUCAUAAUUUGUGACAUUUUUGGGGAGUUUACGGCCAAGACUUGUUCUUGGGCCGUAAACUCCAAUAAAUCCUUCAAGUUGUAUGUUUUAAUGGUACAACAUGGUCUCAUACACCUUAGAUAAAUCCUAGAAGGCCCUAUAAUGAGUUUUGGGACAAUUUGGCAUCAAAUUUUGGGGAGUUUACGGCCCAAGAACAUCCUUGGCCGUAAACUCUUCAUUUUGUAUCCAAAUGUGAAGCUUAAUGGCACAACAUCCCUCCAAUGGCCUUAGAUAAAUUCCUUACAUGCCCUUGAGUAGUUUAGGGACUUAUUUGACACAAAUUUUUGGGUGUUUACGGCCCAAGCUUAAGCUAGGCCUUAAAAUCCUCAUUUUUUCCUCAAAUGGAGUUGUUUGAUGCAUUUAAGUGUUCCUUGGAGUCAAGUCCAAUUUAUCAAACACCUUAGAAGAGCUUUUGGGGCUUUAAACAUAGAUUUAUGGGGGUGUUUGAGGUGUUUACGGCCUAAGCACAAGCUUGGGCCGUAAACUCCUUUUUACAUGUCAAAUCCUUGUGUUUUAGUGUCCAAACUCUUCUAGAUAUAUGCCUUAAUUAGUAUACUAGCUUAAAAGAAGGAAAAACUUGAUCUUUGGCAUGGUUUUGGGGGUUUACGGCCUAAGGAGCUUCUUAGGCCGUAAACUCCUUUAUGGUCCUUGAUUCCUAUGAUUUUGGCCCCUAAAUUCAAUGAAGCAUGACUAGAUUAAGAUAGAGGAUGAGUACUUACGUUUGGAAGUCGGAAAUUAGCGGAAUCGGGGCCGAUUUCGAGUCUAGAGAGAGAAAGUAGAGAGAGAAAGUGGGUGUGUGGUAAAAGAGUAUUCAAAUGUUGUGUACACCCAUUUCAUAUGUCUCGGGUAUCGCACCCGAUACACGGCUACCCGAUGUUUAAAGUUAACUGGGUUAAAACUUUUUACCCGGGUGAAGUGGUUGAAAAGGUAAUACAACUCUAUUAGGUUAAACGGGGUUAACACAUACGAGUUAUAUUUCUUAUGAUAAUAUCAAGCCAUGCAUAAAUUUAGAUAUUCGGAUAUUGACGAUUCCAAAUAUUACAUAAAAUAACGUAUAGUGACACGUUCCGUUAGUGAAAAUGGGAUUUGUAACGGGAAUAGAUUUGGGGUUGUCACAUCAUCCCCCCGUUAGGGGAAUUUCGUCCCGAAAUUUAGAAUACAAACAGAUACGAUAUUACAAUACUACUAAGCGAAGAGAUGAGGGUAUUUGAGUUUCAUUUGAUCCUCGCGCUCCCAAGUGAAUUCCGGUCCUCGCUUGGCGUUCCACCGAACCUUCACAAUUGGGAUGCGGCUUUGUUUCGUCCGUUUUACUUCACGAUCCAAAACCUCCGCAGGUUCUUCCACGAAGUUGAGGCUCUCAUUGAUCUCGAUCUCGUCGAGGGGGAUCACGAGAGUCUCGUCAGACAGACAUUUCUUCAAGUUUGAGACGUGGAAGGUAGGAUGUAUGUUACUUAGCUCGCGGGGUAAGUUUAGUUUGUAAGCUACAGGGCCGAUUCUGGCAAGAAUCUCAAAAGGCCCUAUGUACCUUGGGUUUAACUUUCCACGCUUCCCGAAGCGUAUCGUGCCUUUCCAGGGCGAGACCUUCAGAAGGACUCGGUCUCCCACCUGGAAUUCCAAGGGUUUUCUUCGUUUGUCGGCGUAGCGUUUCUGUCGAUCCCUAGCGGCUUUUAGUCGUUCACGUAUCUGCACAAUCUUCUCGGUCGUCUCUCGAAUGAUCUCUAGACCAGUGAGGGCGCUGUCAGGAACUCGUCCUUUAGCUAACUAGGUGUCUCCCACCUCGGCCCAGCACAAAGGGGAUCUGCACUUCCCGCCGUAGAGGGCUUCGAAUGGAGCUGCCUUGAUGCUCGUAUGAUAACUAUUGUUGUAGGAAAACUCCACAAGAGGUAAGUGUGUAUCCCACGAUUUCCCGAAGUCGAUCACACAAGCUCGCAGCAUGUCUUCUAAUGUUUGGAUCGUCCUCUCACUUUGCCCGUCAGUCUGCGGAUGGUAGGCUGUACUCAUGUCCAGCCUCGUCCCUAGUGCCUUUUGUAAUGAUUGCCAAAAUCUAGAGGUGAAUCUACUAUCUCUGUCUGAUAUAAUAGAUAUAGGGACGCCAUGCAAUCGCACUAUUUCUUUUAUAUAAGUCCUAGUGAGCUUUUCCAUCUUAUCCGUCUCUUUGAUGGGUAGAAAGUGGGCAGACUUGGUCAACCGGUCAACGAUGACCCAAAUGGUAUCUAAUCCACCUGCUGUCUUGGGCAGCUUGGUGAUAAAGUCCAUUGUGAUUCGCUCCCACUUCCAUUCUGGUAUUUCCGGUUGUUGGAGGAGUCCUGAUGGCUUUUGACAUUCUACUUUGACCUUCGCGCAAGUAAGACACUUACUUACAAAGGUAGCGAUCUCCGCUUUCAUGUUCGGCCACCAGUAUAGCUUUUUGAGAUCCAGAUACAUCUUAUCUGAACCCGGGUGGACAGAGUAACGAGUGUUGUAUGCUUCUCUCAUAACCAAUUCUCUAAAACCUCCAUGGCGUGGAGUCCAGAUUCGAUCCAUAAAGUUAUAGGCUCCGUCACCCUUAACCUCCAGAUUUUUAUCCAUUCCGCGCAGGGAUUCUCCCGUCACAUUUCUAGGCUUUAAAGCUUCCCGCUGAGCCUCUUUGAUCUGCGUGGAUAGAUGUGAAUGUAUGGUCAUUGUCAACGACUUGGUCCUUCGUCCGGAAUAUUCUUUUCUGCUCAGGGCGUCCGCUACUACGUUGGCCUUUCCCGGAUGAUAUCAAAUUUCAUAGUCGUAAUCGUUAAGUAACUCGACCCAUCGACGCUGUCUCAUGUUGAGUUCUUUUUGGUUUAGAAUAUGUUGGAGGCUUUUAUGAUCAGUGUACACCACGCUCUUCGUCCCAUACAAAUAGUGUCUCCAGAUUUUUAAUGCGAAGACGACCGCUCCUAACUCGAGGUCGUGAGUAGUGUAGUUCACUUCAUGGUUCUUUAGCUGUCUCGAAGCAUAGGCGAUAACCUUGCCUCGUUGCAUCAAGACACAACCGAGCCCCUGAUUGGAUGCAUCACAGUAUACGACGAAAUCUUCUGUCCCUUCGGGAAGGGAUAAUACUGGUGCGGUGCAUAGGGCUCGCUUCAGGGUCUGAAAUGCCUUCUCCUGUUUCUCUUCCCAGUCGAAUGGUACACCCUUCUGUGUUAACGUGGUGAGAGGUUUCGCAAUCCGAGAGAAAUUUUGGAUGAACCGACGGUAGUAGCCAGCGAGGCCUAGAAAUUGACGAAUUUCCGUAGGCGUCUUUGGUGCUGACCAGUUCUCAAUAGCUUUGAUUUUGGAGGGGUCCACGUGGAUUCCGUCUUCACUGACCACGUGCCCUAAGAAUUCAACUCUCCGGAUCCAAAACUCGCACUUAGAGAACUUCGCAUACAACUUCUCGGAUCGCAGGGUUUCCAGGACUAAUCGUAAAUGAUUUCUGUGCUCUUCCUCGCUUCGAGAGUAGACGAGAAUGUCGUCAAUAAAGACGAUGACGAACUGAUCUAGAUAUGGACGACAUACCCUAUUCAUCAAGUCCAUGAAUACUGCGGGGGCGUUAGUCAGUCCAAAGGGCAUCACUACGAACUCGAAAUGCCCGUAGCGGGUUCGGAAAGCUGUCUUUGGAACAUCUUCCUCGAGCACCCGCAACUGAUGGUACCCCGAUCUAAGAUCAAUCUUGGAGAAGUAACUGGCUCCUUGGAGUUGGUCGAAUAGGUCGUCGAUACGAGGGAGAGGAUAGCGAUUUUUGAUCGUGAGUUUAUUGAGUUCCCUAUAAUCGAUGCACAUCCGAAACGACCCAUCCUUUUUCUUCACGAACAAGACCGGAGCUCCCCAAGGUGAGAAGCUCGGUCUUAUGAAGCCCUUGCUGAGAAGUUCGUUGAGUUGACCGGAUAGUUCUUGCAUUUCGGCGGGCGCUAGUCGGUAGGGCGACUUAGCUACGGGGGUAGCUCCUGGGAUUAGGUCGAUUCUGAAUUCAACCUGUCGUUUAGGAGGUAGGCCUGGGAGAUCCUCCGGAAAGACAUCAGGAAAAUCGCAUACUACUGGAAUGUCUUUUGGAUCUUUCGAUUUCUGGUUAGUGUCGACGACGUGAGCAAGAAAGGCGCGAUAUUCCUUGCGCAAGUAUUUCUGAGCCUGAAUACUAGAGAUGAUACGAAGGUUUGUACUUGGCUUAUCUCCGUAUAUCACUAGGGUCUCUCGAUUCGGAAAGUUCAGGCGAAUGGCUUUCUCGGAACAUAGGAUGUCGGCGUAGUGAAGGCUUAGCCAAUCCAUACCAACAAUGACAUCGAAAUUUUUGAUUGAGACUGGUAUAAGAUCGAUUAAAAAGGGGUGAUCAUCUAACGUGAGAGUACAACCUAUAUAGAUUUCAUUAGAGCUUUCUGUCUUCCCAUUAGCCAUUUCUACAACGAAUGUUUCUUUUAGUGGUUGAGGGGUUUGUUUGAGUAAGUGUUUAAAGUUUUGAUUUAUGAAGCUUCUUUCUGCACCACUAUCGAAUAAGACACAGGCAUAAGAGUUGUUGAGAAGAAACGUACCCGUGACCACUGUGGGAUCGGCUACUGCUUCAUUGUGACCGAUAGCAAGUAACCUUCCAGUUCCCCCAGCAUUUGCAGUCUUCGGACAGUUCUUCUUAAAAUGGCCCGCUUCGCCGCAGCCAUAACACGUCGGGGUCACUCCCGUACCAGGAACCUGUGUAAUAGGUUUGGGAGGGGCCUUGCAAAAUCGGACAGUAUGGCCCUUCCGUCCGCAGUUGGAACACUGCAAUUCACGGCAUGGACCGUUGUGGUGAAAAGGGCACUUGGGACACUUAGGCAAAUUCCCACUGUAAGCUUUCGGUGGGGCUGGAGCAGCUGGUGCGGCCGGGAUGGUGGCAGCAUGAACCGCCACAAUUUGCUGAUCCCUGGAGGCGGUUUGAGUUUUCUUGCCUUUCUUCUUAUCCCAUCGUUUCCUCUUUCUAUCAGAUGAUCCGGAAAGUGCAGUGGUUGUUGUUGCUGGAGUGGAGGAGAUUUCGUGGUUGAUCAGACUCUGGGCCAAUUCCUUGGCGCUGUCGAAAGUGGUAGGGCGUGAGGCCAGAACAUUUCCUCGAUACGGGGGCACUAAACCCCAGAUGUAACGUUCAAUCUUCUUGCUUUCAGAGGGGAUCAUGUUGGGACACAUAGCCGCCAAGUCGCAAAACCUGGCCGUAUAAGCCGUUAUGUCGGUCCCCUUCAUCUUGAGGUUCCAGAGUUCUUCCUCAAGCUUCUGAACUUCGCCCCUAGGGCAGUACUCUCCUCUCAUAAGAUCUUUUAGAGUGUCCCAGCCCAUGGCAUUGGCUGUGACCAAGGAGAGUGCGUUGACAUGGCCGUUCCACCAUGACAAAGCCCUGUUAGUGAGGGUAGCAGUAGCGAACUUGAUUUUGCUCUCUUCGGGACAAGAGCACAUCUCGAAUACAGCUUCGGUUCUUUCGAACCAUUGGGACAAUGCCAGAAUUCCUCCGGUACCAUCAAAGAAAGCAGGUUUACAAUUCAUGAAGUCCUUAUAAGUGCAUCCCUGCACUCGUUGGUGGACUUCACCAAAUCUAGAAUUUCCACCGCUCGCAUCACCCGAGUUCAUUUGGGCCAUGGCUGCUGUUACAGCCGCAGUCACAGCCGCUUGGAACAACACCGGAUCGAACUGCGGAGGAGGAGGUGGUGGAGGAGGGGUUUGAGUUUCAGGUCUUCCUCUGCUGGGACGCUUUCGUGGAGGCAUCCUUCACUGGAAGAUCAUAGAAAUGAUAGCAAUAGUAAGAGCCUAUUGCGAAUAUGAAUAGAGUGUUUCAUGGAUUAAAUCAACAUAAUCCAAGAUCAGGGUAAGAGUUAUAGCAAUAGAGAAAUCAUCUGCCAAUAUACUGGUAUUAAUGAUGCAACAGAAGUUCAUGAAAAUUGACCUAGCAGUAGGUCUUACAUCAUACCAUAGAGAAAAUGUUGGCAGUUUAGAGGUUCAACUAGAGUACUUUUAAACUAGGAAUGUUUACAGACAAGAGACCUACGGAACAUAGAGAUAAAAGGCUAGUCCUUUAAACAAAAGAGUGAGGUAACUAGAUGUCUUCUACUGGCGACGGUUGCUUGUUGGGCGAAUCCUCAGAUCCGCUAGUUGACGCAUAACUUCUUGAAGGUGUCGAUCAUGAGUCCUUUGGCGUGCUCGGAGUUCCCUAACUUCAGCUCGGGAUGCAGCCAGCUGAUGCUGCAGAGCCUCGUUGGUCCUCCUUGUCCUGUCCACGGCUUCUUCGAGUUGGCGGAUGCGAACAGUGUUGAGGUUUGAGUUGGCAUCCACUUCUACAACUCGACCAAUAGCAGCUUGACCUUGCUCAACAUUCCUGGCAAUCCUUCGGAUCAUGAUGGGCAGAACCCGAUCUGCUGAUCCUCCUUCGCUUAUGUUGUAGAAACUUCGGUCUCCAUUGUAAGGCAAGGGCUGACCCUGCUCCUCGCUCCAUCGACGCAAGGAUAUUGCCCACAUAGGAGUGGGGCCCUGAAAUGCCGGUCGGGGGUUAGGGUUCGGGGCUUCAGGAGGUUGGUUGUUGACUUCUGGCUCGGAGCUCGAGCUAUCCGAGAAGCCUUCAGCAUGAUGAUCAUCCAAAGGAAUAGGGUGAUCGUCGUCUGACUCCUCUUCGAGCCAUCCUCCAUUGCCCUGGUUCGGAAAGUACGGAUCACCGGGUAGGUGGAAGCCAGCCAUGCUAUCUACGCGAGAAAGGGGGAAAGAAGAUUAAUAGACGUACUAUUCUAAGAUACUUAUAGGAGGAAUCAUUACCAGUUGACCCAAUACUUGCAUAGUGCAUACCGAUUACAUGUAACCGAAGCAAGAUAGUCCUUCGAAUAAACCACCCUAACUUCAGACCCCCAAUCAAACAAGAACAGGGAAUGAAGCAAAGGCUGCAGAUUCUGAGUCUAUAGCGCCCCAAUCACAUGUAAUCGUGGUGUAUCCACUUAGCAACUAUUGUCCUACUAGUAACGACCCUUUUUGUUAACACAUACGUAUAAUCUAGAGAUACAGAAUACUCCUAUAGUAUUCUUAUGUUAGCGUUAUUGUGGUAUUGUUGGUAAGUUUUAGACUUGUUGCAACAUCACAACCGAACUUAGGCACAUGCUAGUCACUCUCAGGAAAACGUAGUUGAUCAGGCUACAUCAUCCUGAAUGUGACUAUAUGUCUCUAAACCCAAUUGCGCUGCCCAACAAUCUUAAUACUUUCGUUUUGUUCUAGGACAAUACUGAUUCCUGUGUUUUAUAGUGAUGUGUGUAUAUAUAUACUUAGUUAGAUCUUUUAGAUACUUAACAGUAUAUAUUCUUGGUCAGAGUGUUUUAGUCCCGAAGUGUUUAUAGUUCGUAUAUCUUUUAUAGGUUGAUAUACUUGAUUCACUAUAAACAAUGCUCUGAUACCAAACUGUCACACCCCAAAACCGAUAACGGCGGAAUACGUUUCGGGGUGGAUGACGUAGUGAACAGUAUCAUCACAAUUGCAUAAUAGUAGAAACAAGAAACAUACAACCAUAGCAUUACAUAGUGAAUUUAAUUACAAGUGUGUUUUGUAAUGUUUAACAAUCACCCAAAAGUAAAUCAAAAAUAAGAGAUGGGUCUUGUGUGCUCCACCUUCUCCAAAAAUGCCGCGUCUGUACCUGUCUAUCUUUGACCUGAAGAUACAAGUUAUUUUGAAAACGAUUAUCAGCAUAAAGCUGGUGAGUUCAUAAGAGUUUAGUGUGAGUUUUUGUAUACAAAGCAUUGGUGCGAAAAAUGUAUCAUUAUUCAUAAGUAGUAGAAACUUAGAAAAAUCCCAUAUUUUUCCAGAAAAUACAUUUUUAGUGACAAUCUGUGAAAAGUAUGCAUUCUUCAUUUCUUUGAAACAGUUUAUUGUAAAGUAUAUUGGCAAAACUCCAAGUAAUAAAUGUGAUAGAAUAGGUUAAGCCUGAAAUCAGUGAUAGAGGUGCAAGCUUCCUUUAGUGAUAGAUACUUACUUACUUCGGGAUGUAGUUUAGCAUUUAGUGUAGUAUUUUAGAGUAGUUGUAGUGUAUUCCUUGUAUAUUACUAAUAGUGAGGAUAAUAGAGGAUCCCAUGACCUUCCCAGUCAUGCACAGUAUAGUGAAGUAGUGGCAUCCCUGGGCCUGCACGGCGCGGACUGAAAUUAACAGUCGGGAUGUAAUAGCGUCUGCCCCGUAUAGAUCUAUACAUGUAGAGUCGUCUCCCUGCUGGAAAACUCCGGGCGUAGUGGAUAGCGAAUAGAGUAUCUCGUAGUGGGUUAGUGUAUUAUUGUUUGUUUAGUGUUUUCUCUAUUGUUAUAGUGUAGUAAUCUUUUAGUAUUGAUCAUAGUGUAUUCUCUUACUAGUGUAUCGUCUAGUAAUAGUGAGUAUUAUAGUGUAGAUAGAAAUGACUUUAGCGAGUAGUAGCUGUAGCAACCGUAACUAUACCUAUUAUAGUUAUCUUAGUGAGGAUGGUUCUUGGCAUGUUAGUGACUUUAGUAUUAAGUGAAAGCAGUAACAUUCGUAUCCCACACUGAUAUACAGAUUAUAUAACUAAGAAAUCAACGACAGUCGGACGGAUAACUACUACCCUAAGCCCACAAUCAAACAAGAACAGGAAAUAAGGCGAGAUAUCGGUCCUAAGUCCUCCAAGUCUUACUUAUAUAAAUAUAUCAGAGUGGUUACAUUUUAUAAGUAAAUUGAUUAAAUAAAAGUAUUUUUCCAAAAGAACAUUUAAAAUCUGACUCACUGUUUAAAAAUAGUUUGAAAAGGGUAAAACCCGUUUAUAAGGCAUAGGGACAAAUCACAUGUGAUUUGAACUAAAGGUAGUGAAUCACAUGUGAUUAAUCCUUGUAACGCGGAAAUCGUUCUGUAAAACUUUACAUAAACAUUUAUAAGCAACUUGUAUCUCCCCCCUAAAACAUUUAAAACAUUUGAAAGGUUCAUUAAAGGGGUAUGAACUCACCUGAAAUCGCGGAAAUCGGGUGAAUCGGGUAAAUCGGGUAAAAGUGUCGAUUGAGCGUUUGGUACCAAAUAACCACUUGAGCACCUUUUAGGACCCUAAUGUCAUAUGAAAUAUGUAUUUUACAAGAAGUUAAUCAUCUUAUGCUUUUCAUUAUAGUAUUUGGACAUUCUAGCAUCGUUUUCGGGGUUUUAAGGCCUAGAGAGGGUUCCCGGGAGUGGUACAAGGCCAUGAAUGGUUUACGGGAGGGUCCAUGAGCUCACUCCCUUGGAGUUUAUGGCCUAAAAGCCACCCUUUGGGAGUUUACGGCCGUAAGCCCCCUAGGCUUGGCCGUAAACUCAUGUGGUACUCCAAGGUGCAUGAUUAAGGCCUUAUUUUACUUCCUUACUUUAAUGGUAUGUGUCUUGGACUAAAAGGGAAGGAUUAAACAUCAUAAUUUGUGACAUUUUUGGGGAGUUUACGGCCAAGACUUGUUCUUGGGCCGUAAACUCCAAUAAAUCCUUCAAGAUGUAUGUUUUAAUGGUACAACAUGGUCUCAUACACCUUAGAUAAAUCCUAGAAGGCCCUAUAAUGAGUUUUGGGACAAUUUGGCAUCAACUUUUGGGGAGUUUACGGCCCAAGAACAUCCUUGGCCGUAAAAUCUUCAUUUUGUAUCCAAAUGUGAAGCUUAAUGGCACAACAUCCAUCCAAUGGCCUUAGAUAAAUUCCUUACAUGCCCUUGAGUAGUUUAGGGACUUAUUUGACACAAAUUUUUGGGUGUUUACGGCCCAAGCUUAAGCUAGGCCUUAAACUCCUCAUUUUGUCCUCAAAUGGAGUUGUUUGAUGCAUUUAAGUGUUCCUUGGAGUCAAGUCCAAUUUAUCAAACACCUUAGAAGAGUUUUUGGGGCUUUAAACAUAGAUUUAUGGGGGUGUUUGAGGUGUUUACGGCCUAAGCACAAGCUUGGGCCGUAAACUCCUUUUUACAUGUCAAAUCCUUGUGUUUUAGUGUCCAAACUCUUCUAGAUAUAUGCCUUUAUUAGUAUACUAGCUUAAAAGAAGGAAAAACUUGAUCUUUGGCAUGGUUUUGGGGGUUUACGGCCUAAGGAGCUUCUUAGGCCGUAAACUCCUUUAUGGUCAUUGAUUCCUAUGAUUUUGGCCCCUAAAUUCAAUGAAGCAUGACUAGAUUAAGAUAGAGGAUGAGUACUUACGUUUGGAAGUCGGAAAUUAGCGGAAUCGGGGCCGAUUUCGAGUCUAGAGAGAGAAAGUAGAGAGAGAAAGUGGGUGUGUGGUAAAAGAGUAUUCAAAUGUUGUGUACACCCAUUUCAUAUGUCUCGGGUAUCGCACCCGAUACACGGCUACCCGAUGUUUAAAGUUAACUGGGUUAAAACUUUUUACCCGGGUGAAGUGGUUGAAAAGUAAUACAACUCUAUUAUGUUAAACGGGGCUAACACAUACGAGUUAUAUUCCUUAUGAUAAUGAUCACGACAUGCGUAUAAUUAGAUAUUCAGUUAUUGACGAUUUCAAGUAUUACAUAAAAUAAUGCAUAGUGACACAUUCCGUUAGUGAAAAUGUGAUUUGUAACGUGAAUAGAUUUGGGGUUGUCACAGUAAGUCUGCAGGUGUAGCCGUAGCAUUCACUAGGUUGGUAGGUAGCAUGAGUGCGUUGUUAGGACGCGAAAGGAGCAAUAGUACACCAAUCCGGGUGCAGCAGUGAGGAUAUGGAAAUCCACGGAUUGGAUUUCGGACUUACCCAAAUGGAUUAGAUCUAGUUAAGCCAGUAAUGAGAUGGUAGGGACAUCACUACAGAUAUGAGAUCAGGGAAGCAAUGGACUGCUUAAGGUCGUUUGUGAUGAAAGACUACCAUUGGUUAGAUAGCAGUCACUUUUAGUUUUGGAUUGGGUGAUGUCGGGAUUCGACGCACAGAACCGAUCGGUUAGGUCAGAAAGUUGUUUGAGCCAUUGUGACAUGAUAACUAGUGGCAACUAGUUCCAGGGAAGUAUUUCGUUCAGAAUUCGUGUGAGGCAACUAAGUGGGGAGUCCUUUGGCUCCGCAUUCGGGCCUGAACCCGACAUUUCAGAUCAUUGGUGAAUAAAUUGAGACCAGGUAGUUCUCGAUGGAUUUUGGGAAGCAACUAUGUAGCAGCAUACUGCUUCAGGCAGUUCAGUGUUCGGGCAGUUUCUGCGUUUGGGCAGUGUUAUUAUUUACGUUUCAGGUUGCAAAUACGUACAAAAUAGCUAGAUGAUUGGAGGAGUGAAAAUUCACUCACAGCAGGAGUAUAUGAACCUUGGUCAGGUACGAGUGAUCUGCAUAGAUAAUUAGGUCUGUGACCCUGUUGAUAGUGGGAACCUUGAGCUAUCAGGGGCUGAGUAGCCUGUUGAGGGACAAACGGGCAGGACUGAACGAUGAUAAUUCAGUAUGAGUAGUCUGACGAGGAUUCGAGACCAUCUCGAGAUAGCAGAUUACAAACGGAUUAGGGGUGAUCUUGUUGCAAGGAAUUCUUUCCUUUGCGGAUUUUAGAGCUUUGUAAAGGUGGUCACAACUACCCCUGGAAGGCAAGGGUGUGACUAGGACGGUGACGAUGUCAUUGGAGUGGUUGGGUGUGUAAGGAAUGGUAAGGUGUGAUUUUGAGGACGAAAUCUAAUUUAAGUGGGGGAGAGUUGUAACACCCUAUUUAUUUAUUAAAUAAAUAAAUAAAUUUAUGAAGAUAUAGUUGCCCUAAAAUCAAUAAUUUUGUAGCGGGGUGUUGGUUACAAGGAGCUAUUUGUCAUAAUUUGGAAGUUGAGGGUUAAAAGUGUAAGCUCUGGACCCCGUUUGUAAAUAUUUAUGAACGCAGGGACUCUGUGGUAUUUAUUUGGAAUUAUUUUAAAAUGAAAUGAUGUGGAAGGGCUGAAUAUGUAAUAACUAAGAUAUUGUGUGCUGUCUGGUAACUUUUAUACCUAAGAUGUAAAGGAUUUAAUGGGAAGGGUUUAAAUGGUAAUUAUCGGAUUUAAUUUGAAGAAGAUUUCCAAAGUCAAGGUAGAAAGGGUAAAAUUCGGAUUACAUUUGAUAAGAUCUUAUAGGGAGGGACUAGAAUGGUUUAAAGGGCAAAGUUAAAUAUGAACACAGGACAACUCCCAUCACCCUUGCUUAUGCCGAGUAUAUAAGAAUCAUAGACUCAUGUUUCAAACCCUAAACCUAAUAGUUGAAGACAGCCACCAUCGCCGGAGUUCUCCAACCGCAACCAUCCUCGUUCUUCAUCUCCGAUGCUGUUACCACCUGACCCCUCCUCUCUCUUUCUCCGAUAUGGUGAGGUUUUGGACGACAGCCGACGUCCAUGCUGCUGUCUGGAGUUGUUGCUACUUCAGUCGCCGUCGGGGGCUAGUGCGACGCCUCCUUCUUCUGUCGCCGUAGCUCCAAGCGAUUCGGCGUUCCGGUUACUCUCCAACCGCCGGAUGCCACCAUAUGGGGUGGUUGGGUUCACUUCUAGCAAGUUAGGUGUGUUGUUGCCACCUUUCCGUGUCAACCACCGCCGCCCCAAGAGACUGAAGGGUUGCCGCCGGUAUUCCCAAUUGUUGAAGGCGAAGCCGCCGCCUAUGCUGGCUACCAGUUUGGUGUUGAUUCGCUCGUGCUCCUGCCACCACUGUGAACCUCUAAGUGGGUGGUGGUGUAUCUAUUUCGGGCCCUUGUGUGUGUAUUGUUUAUUGCUGCAAUGGAGUGGGUGUCGUGUGGGGUUGUUGAUGGCCGGAAAAUGGAAGAGAUACCCACCAUGGUUACCAGCCAUGGUGGCUGCCACCAUCUGCCAUCGCUGACUACCAUAAGGUGGUGGUGUGUGAUAUUUGUUUAGUAUGUGUGUUUGUUUAUUUUGAGUAUUAUCAUUGUAAUGUGUAAUUACAAUUGGAAUAAUGAAAGGAAAAAAUCAAAACACCACCGUGAGGUGGUGGUUGCCGCCUCCUGCCACCACCGGCCGCUGUGUCGGGUGACGGUGUGCUUUGCCUCGUAGUGUUGAUUUGUUUGGGGUGCUUGAAACCAUAAUGGCCCCAAAGAAGCUCAAAUGGGACGAAUGAAGCUUAAUGGACUCUAAUGGACCCAAUAAAACCCUAAUGGGCUCAAUAAUAUUUUAGUGGGCUUAAUAGGCCCAAUAAAGCCCUAAUUGAUCUAAAAGCCCAACAAAUUAAUAAAUGGGCUAGUAAUUGGGUUGGAACCCUAAUUAGUGUUUGGAAAACCCUAAUGCCAUCAAAACCCUAAUUUUGGCGACUUAAUCGAGAUACACGAGACUUAUUAAUAACUUGGAAUAUUCAAUAAUAAUCAUUGGCAGAAAUUAAGCAAUAUUGGACUUAAUGGAUUAAGUCCUUAAUGGGUUAAGUAGGAAACUUAACCCUAAUCAUCAUUUUAUUUGAAACCCUAUUUUUCUUGGGUUUAUUGUUGGGCAUUUCUAUUGGGCUUUGAUGAUUAGGUUAUUAAAUGGGCUAUCCAAGAUCAAGCAAAUGGUUUAGAGUAAUUUAAUGGGCCUAGGGUAAGGCCCUUGUAAAGGGCUUGGGCCCAAUUUGGAAAAUUGGGCCAUAGAUGGGCCAUAGUUUGGGCCUUAAUGAUUAUAUGAUGUUGGGCCUUAGAAUGAGACCAUGUAUAGGCCUAGGCCCAAUUAGGAAAAUUGGGCCAUGUGUUGGGCUUUGAUUCCUAAUUGACUUUGGGUCUAUGGUUUGGGCCUUGGGCUUGAAUAAGCCAAGCUAGGGGUAAUGUAGUAAUUACCCAAAGAAUGUACUUAUGGUUAUGUAUUGGGACCCAAUUAUUAAUUGGUUGUUAUUUUGGUGUUGACAGUUCGGGAAUCUGUCUGCCAGCAGCUGGGUCGAGUCUGCGGGACUUCAGCAAGUGUGGGAUUGUGUCCUCGGGACUUCAGCAGUGUGAGGUGAGUUACCUUACAAUAGCUGUGGGUGUACGGCCACAAUGUCGGCCCACCAGUAGGAGUUGUAUGUUACAUGAUUGUCUUUGUGAUAUCAUCUAGGUUUGCUACUACAUGAUAUGUUGUAUGCUAGCAUGAUAUGUUAUAUGCGAUAGUAGUAGAGUUCGGUUGUUAGGACCGAAGGGUAGGUCAGACACCCCAAAUAUGUCUGACAGUAUGUGAUGAUAUGUUUAAAUGAUGGCAUGAUAUGUUAUAUGUGAUAGUGGUAGUAGGAGGGGAAUUGUCCCUAAGUUCGGUUGUUAGGACCGAAGGGUAGUUCGGACACCCCAAGUAUGUCUGAUAGUAUGUUUAUGUUAUAAUAUAUGUGAUAGUAGCAGUAGGCAGUGGAAUAGUCCCCGAGGGUCGGUUUUUAGGACCGACGGGUAGGUCAGCACCCCAAAAUGGCUUGACACCGGUAGGUCGGCACCCCAUAAUGGCCGUACCGGGUAGGUCGGGCACCCCAGAAUUGCCCGACAGUAUGUAUGCUUUGUGAUUGUGUGGUAUGUGGUAUGAUGGGGAACUCACUAAGCUUCUUGUUUACGGUUUUCAGUUUUGGUUUCAGGUACUUCGUGUUUAAAGGAAAGGAGUCGGAUUGAUCGCAGCGCAUCACACUAUGUUUUCCACACAUGAGAUCUUUGGGAUUACACUCUGAUAUGUUUUUAUGAAAAUACGUUUUGAUUAUUGACACUUUGGUUUGACACGAGAAAUUAUUAUGAAUGUUUUUACAAUGAUGCUUUUAUGUAAUAACUUAUUUAAAAAUGAAAUUCUUGGCCCUGAAAAUUGGGAUGUUACAUCAAUUGUUACAUAUGUUGUUUGAAAGUUCCCAGAAUGUCCUCUUUCAGAUGAGGAAGUCAGAGGUUGGUUGUGAAGAGCUUUUGGAUUCUUUUAGAAAUGGUGUGGUAAAUAUAAAAAAAUGCAUCCUUUUUUCGUUCUGUUUUUUACUUCAUGUACACAAUACAAGAUGAUGUUUAUAACCAUGACGUCUUAAAAUUUGAUGUUUUUUGUAGGUAAACAAUCCUAAAAAUGAAAUUGGUUCGACUCGUGAGAUGAGAAAAAAAAACCUAUUAAUUUUAUACACAACAUCACAAAGUAGAAUGCUAUAAUUGAGUUUUUAAUUUACAAUGUCCUAAUAAGAAAAAAAAAACAUCAUCAUGCGAAGCCCAUGAUCAAUUACUAGUUAUACAAUUAUUUAAACUUAAAAAGUUAAAUAUAUGCCAACCCCGUUUUUUUCUUAAAUACUAAAUAUAAUAUAUCAAUCUAUUGUGUUUUAGUUUAUCAUGGGUUAGUAAAAAAGUAUUUUGUAAAUUUAUUUUAAUAACAUUUAAGUUAAUAAAUUUGUUAAGUAAUAAGAAUUUAUGUAAAUAACCUUAUAUAUUUUGCUAUAAAUAAACAACCCAACGUAAGAAUACCAUAGAGCUUGUUUUAGAAUAACACGUGCUUAUUAUCUAUUACUGCACAUACAAGCAUGGAUUACCUUUUCAGUUACCUGGGACAUACCGCAAAUUUACAAUUCCAAUAUUCUAAGUUUAUAAUGAUUUAAUUUAUAUAAAGCAAUAAUAGAAAGAUAAAAUUGUGAUUGAAAAAAAAACAAAAUCAUGCAUUCUAUGUCCAUAAAAGAACAACCUAAACUGGUCCGGUUUUUGGUUAAGGUAAACCAAGAAUUUCGAAUUUUGAGUUUUCGGUCUAAUUAGUUCAUCAGGUUGUCUGCGUUAGGGCUAUUGCUCUUUCUUAUCUUUAUCAUGAAUCUGUCUUUAGAAUGGUACUAAUUUAGUCCAUGUAAUUUAAUUUAUAUUUUUAGACAAAUUUUUAACAGUAAAGUGGUUGCUCUAAACUGACUUAAAGACUUAUAUAUAAUGGAGUUAGAUAAAAAGUCCACAUGGUUAAGAAAAUGAAAACGUUUUGGAUGUAUUCAAUAUAAAUCUUAGGAGUUUCUAGCUUCUAGGUUUCAAGAAAAUGCUCGUAAAAAAAGAUUUCUUCGGGCAACAGGAGCAUUUAACUUUUAGUCAAUACAAAACGCUACAAAAUAAAAAGCUACAGGGAGAAGCUUUUAACAAAACGCUUCAAAAUUAAACGCUACCAGCUACUCGCUACCCAUUAUCCACUACUUUUACCAAACACGCCCUUUGAUUAAAAGUAUCAAAUUGUAAAAGCAUGGACUACAACUCUACAAGUACCGUUGGAGAUUACGUCGAAAAAUCCAAUUUUCUCUAAAGUAUAGGUUAAUAUGUAGCAUUUUUUUCUUAGGGUAAAAACAUCAUCGUAAAAAAUAUAACAUAAUUAGUUUUAACUACAAAGCUUUUAUCUUCAAAAUUUGGCCACCCUUUGUGUGUAUAUAUUGUAAGCACUCAAACUUCAUUUCACUCCACACAUGAACAUCCUUCCAAUGUCUAUCCCUGAUGUUUCACUGGCAUCUAAACCUAACUCUUUUAAAGUUAUGUUACUUUUUCGUUUAACAAAACUCCAUUUUAAAGUACAAUCAUAACUUGGUAGUAAAAUGAGUCUUUUCAAUAACAGUUCAAAUGAAAUACUAGUAAACUAUAAGGAGUAUAGUUUAGAGGUUCCGUUCAUACUAGAUGAAAUACACGAUAACAUACAGAGAACACACAAUAAAGAGAAACAGGGAGCUAGAUACAAUACACGAUAACAGAAAGAACAUACUAAGAUACUAUAACAGAAUGAACAUACUAAUAUGCCAUAGCAUGGAACACUUACAAGAUCUAACUAUACCAAUAAUCACUAACACAUUGUUCUAAACAAAAGGUCAUAACUUAUUGGGUAUACAUGAACAUAUAAUUUUAAUGUGGAUUACAUGGCUAGCAACUGGUUUGCUAAGGUCGCGUUUGGUUCCCAUAAUCUUUUGACAGGGAGAGCGUAUAGUAUGGGAACUAGCCUUCACAUUAUGACCUUAAUAAAACAAACAUGUUUUAAGGUAUUUAGUAUGUCAGAAUGUCAAUUUAUAAGAUAACUAACUACUUAUAUUUUUCCGUUACUUUCAUAAAGUGACAGUUCCACUUGAAAGUUAAUACAAACUAUUUUCGAGUCAAGAUAGUUAUAAACUAGGGAAAAACUUACAUCUUUUCAAAUGAUAAACAGAACAGUCGGGUCUAGUACAUUCAGUAGAAAGGGACCAUAAUGCUCUUGGAUUAAUGUCUAAGUCCAUAACUAUAUUUGGUAUUUACUUGACCCGACCCGACAUGGUCCAUUUGGGUUGCACUUCACCGGCACAAUUUAUAUGGAUAGUCUUUUGACAGUAGUAUAUUUAUGAUUUAUAUUAAUAUAUUAUAAUUUCUAAUAUAUUAAUAUAUAAUCAUAUUAUUUAAUUAGUAUUGAUCAAGAGUUAAUUUAUAAUUAAUUAAGUGAUCAAAAUGAACUAAUUAAAUAUGGACUCUUAUAUAUAUGGAAUGGGCCAAGUUCAUUUAGGUUGGGCUAAGUUUUCAUGGAUAGUCCAUGGAGUGUUUAACCCAUGGAUCAUAUAAAAUGAAAGGNACUUAGAGAGAACCAAGUAUUCAUAUUCUCUAAAGUCUUCCAAGGUGUCUUGGUGAUUUGUGAUUCCACUUGAGGCUUCCACACUAUUGGGGCUAAGCUCUUAAAGCUUGAAGACAUCAAGCUACAUCAAAAGGUAUGUCUUCUAACUAGUACUUUGUAGAUUAAGAACAUCAUAAUAUGCUAGUUAGGAUUAAAGCCUUGGAAAGUUCUUAUUUGCAUGUAUAAUAGAGAAAACAUAGAUCCAAGGUUUAUAGGGUUGCAUGUACACCAUAGGACUGUUAGAAUGCUCAAAACCCAACAGUGGUAUCAGAGCCCAUGCUUGUUUUCUUGUUAUCCUUGCAAAAAUGCUUAAAAAUCGAAGUUUUUUGUUGUCUGGGCAUCAGACUCGGCAAGUCCAUCAGGAGACUCGGUGAGUCCAUGCCUUAAAAUUGAUCAAAACGAUCUAACUCGCCGAGUCGAUUCAUGCACUCGACGAGUUGGACCCCCAGACAGCAUAAAUUUGACUGUUUUGGCUGGAAUUGGACUAGGAACAUUACCCUAAGAUGUUUUUGGACUUAUAAACUUGUUUUUGAUGUGGUAAUGUUCAUGCUAAUCCAAUUUCAAAGAUAAUUGUCAAUAGAUUCAUGUUUUGUAUUAGUUUAAGGUUUAGACUAAUUACAUGAAAAAGUUUGAUUUGAAUUAUCUUGUUCUUAUGAGUUGCUUAGAUUAAUAGAAAAGUUGAGUGAAAUAGUUGUUUUCAAUCCAAAUUAAUCUAAGAGUUGAUUCUAAAAUGUGUUUUUGUAACUUGUCCUCAAGUUAUAUGAAAAGUCACAUUUAAGUUUCAUAAAACUCAUAAAAGUUGGCAAUGGUUACAAAAUAUGAAGAGUCUUGUCCUUAAGUUAUGGAGGUUCAAGAGUCACUUCAUUAAGUAAUAAAAUAUGUAACCUUAAUUAAUUCCAUAAGUUACAAAAUAAAGAAAANNNNNNNNNNNNNNNNNNNNNNNNNNNNNNNNNNNNNNNNNNNNNNNNNNNNNNNNNNNNNNNNNNNNNNNNNNNNNNNNNNNNNNNNNNNNNNNNNNNNNNNNNNNNNNNNNNNNNNNNNNNNNNNNNNNNNNNNNNNNNNNNNNNNNNNNNNNNNNNNNNNNNNNNNNNNNNNNNNNNNNNNNNNNNNNNNNNNNNNNNNNNNNNNNNNNNNNNNNNNNNNNNNNNNNNNNNNNNNNNNNNNNNNNNCUUUAAUUAAAACUCAUAAGUUAUGAAAAUCCAAGAGUUUUGAAUAGUUUCAAAACUUGCCCUCAAGUUUUGGAAUUUAAAAAGUUUUCUUUUAUGAAUACUUUAAUUCCAAGUUAAGCCCUUAGAAUUUUAAAGAGUUAAAAUUCAACCCUUAUACUUUAUAAUAUUAUAAGUUAAUAAUAUUUAUAUAUAUGUAUAAGAGUAAAGUCAGUCUUACCGUUAGUAGGCCUCAUUCACGAAGCCGGUCUAUAAGGGGGGUAUAAGGUUACUGCCUAUAAAAUGGCAGUUUAAUGGGUGUCCACUCUCACCCACCGCUUCCUUGACCGGUGGAGGGUCGUUAGCCGAACGGGUAGGACAAGGACUAUAAUUCUCCCUUCAUUAAAAGUAUUAAUGAUAAAUACUAAGUAACUAAACCUUUUAUAAAUACCCAAUCUUAGUUACUUAGGAAAAUGUGAAUAAGGUGCUAAUCCAUGAAAUUACACUUUGCAGUUUGUUUAAGUCGGUUAGUGGAGCGUGUGUGGUUAACUGGCACACUAACUCGUAUUUAACAAGGUAGGCAAAGGGUAACUUAAUGUUUGUCAUAGUAUCGAUGGUGCGUGUGUGGCUAACCAUCACAUCGAUUGAGGGGUAAACACUUAAGGGUAACAAGUAAUUUCCAUGGUUACUUCACACCUUGUUUUGUGAUCCUCGGCAUCCCAGUCACAAAACCUGAAGGGCACACUCGAGAUUGAAACAUGCCAUUGAAAGUUCAAUGAAUCUCAAAGAUCUAGGAGUUUCAAAUCCAAUUAAAACCUAAUAAAUUAUUUCGUUUUUCAUGGUGGAAAUUGGUGAAUCGUCAUUCACCUACCUUCAAAUAUUCUAUAGCUUGGAUUACGGCAUCCCUCUUCCAAGUUAUAAAAUAGUUUGUUGGGUCCUAGCCUUAAUAUUUCAUAUUGGGUGUUAUAUUAAGGACUUUAAAUCAACUAUCUUGAAUAUCUCCCAAAAGAUGUCUAGUUCAGACAUCUAUGAUCUUCCCAAAUAUCUUGGAACUUCACUUCCUCCACCUCCUCCAAUUAUUCUCCCUAACCCACAAGUUCAAGGUCACUCAAGCCCUAUUGGCAAGGCAAGGUCUAGGUGUGAUCACAUCUUGGAGAUGAAGUCACAUACUGACAAGCCGGGAGAGUUGGGUGUCAAAGUCUUGAGAAAGUUAGUGGUUCAAUCACUUUCUAAGUCACAUAGUGAGUUCCUUUGGGACUCCUAUGAAAUAGACUAUGACAAGACCCUUAAUGAUCUUAUCUAUUUGCUUGGUUCUGCUAAAUCAGAAAUGAUUUAGUGUACUAGUAAAGCAAAUUUGAUUAGGAGAUCAACUUCCCAAAACUUUAUGGACAAGGACAAUAGUGACACAGGAAAUCCAGAAAUGCAUUCUCUUCCCAAUGGAAAGGGAUUGGCCAUAGUCAACUUGGUUGACCAAAUGGUAAAGAGAAAGGCUAAGUCUGAGAUAGUCCCAUGUACUAUUACCUAAGGGUCCAUAUGUUUCUAUUGCCAAAGGAAGGGGCUUUGGUUACGAAGCUGCCAAACUUACCUAAGGAUGGUAAAGUCAAUAAGUUUGACUUUAUUUCAGGUAAAGUCCAUUGUCUAACUCUAUUAAGUUCCUACUUGGAGAUUCUUAUUACAUGAUGUGGCUGGGGCACAUGUUGAUGUUUUAAGAAUCAAAGAAAAGUAAAGAAACUUAAAGGAAGUAUAUGCUGAUUCUGAUCGCGAAGAUGGAUUUCAAUCGCAUAGUUCGGUGAUCAGAAUUUUGAGCAGGUGCUUAAGAGUUAUGAUAGAUUGCUUAAGAAUAGAUGACAACAAGUUUUCAUAUACAUUUGCAUUGUAAGGAUUAGUUUUUCCGCAAAGUUUUAAAAUAAAAGAAAAGUUUUAAAUUUUAUUUAUUUUAAAAUAUCCUUACAAUGGCAUUUGGGAAAAAAAUGUUGCUUAUAUGAUUCCAUUGAUAGCCAUAUUGGAAACAUGAAUUUGAUCCUUUCAUUUGUGGUAGUGUCUAAAUUUACCAAAUAAGGAAAGGUUCUCAUCACCCAAGUUUCAGAUGGAUAGAAACGUGGAAUCAUGCAAAUUGUAUUGUAUGAUGAAUGAGAACUUUCGAGCAUUGGAAAAUUAAGACUAACUGCUUGUUCACAUGGAUGUGUGAGUCAAGAGAAGGAGUAAGGGAUCAAGUACACUUUCUUGUGAACUUGUCAAAGUCCACCACAAAAGAUGGAUAAGACUAUUCGUCAUGAUUUACUAAGGUUUAGUAAAUAUGAUUAUACUUACAAGCUUAAGUAUAAUUCUGAAGCAUUGNNNNNNNNNNNNNAACGAAUAAGAAGAAACAAAUUAGGCAGAAGGAUAAAAGUUUCUCAAAUCUGAAAAGAUAGGAGAGUCCUUUUAGUAUCAUAUUUUAAGAUCAUCUUAAUGAUUUUGAGACCUUAUCACAACUCAUCAUCUAAGUACAUUCUGAUAGUUUAGAAGAGGAGUUAUGAAUAGUUGAAGUGGUUAAAUCAAGAAGAUGAUUCAUACUUCCUUCUAAAACAAUUCAUAGAGUUAUACUCUAAGAUUGUAACUUGAGUGAAAUGUCUUAAAGAAGGUUUAAAAUAAUUGUCAAAUGUAAGAGUAAAUGUUUUCUACUCUUGUACAUUUGAAAUUGGUAAGUUGUGAUGUUUUGGAUAAAACAAAGACCAACUAUGGCUAAUUGUGUUAAGUGUUUGUCUUGAUUAGAAUCCACAAUAUCUCUUGAAUAUCUGACAAGAAAGUUUUAUAUGUCAAGAGGACAGUGGGAGUCUUAAAGGUCUUGAAAGUCUCAAGAACUAAUCAAGAAUAAAACUUGAAGUUCUUCACUAGCACACGACUUGAUGUUUAUAACCUAUCGUGUUGACAUAUUUUGUGCCCAUGCCAAUUAAAUUUGGCUUUGCAUAUGAGGUCUUAGAGUUCUCAAUUGGUUGCAUAACAACUUGGAAGCAAUGGCAGGCCCUUGAGCUUCCAGAUGGUAAGAAAUUAAGAUAGAGUUCAGUCCAUAUGAGUUUGGAUUGGUCAUUACCCUUGUCUUGUGACUAUGGUUUUGACAACUCACGUGGAUAAGAACACUUACACCAUAAAAUCUAAGUGUCAUAAGGUUUCUCUUCGAUUCAUGAAAAUGAUGGUAAGGAAACUCUUUCACUAAGUAGAUUUUGAGUAGAUAGCAAUUGUGGGAAUGACAAAAGGUCUAAACAUUAUGAUUACGACAUCCCUUUUCAUAAUUGUUUAGAAACACCUGUGAGCUAUCUAAGGCAAGGUGUAUGUUUUUUAUAAAGUCUUAUCAAGGCAAUCUAGUAUCAGAAAUUUGAACUUUGGUAAGAAAGUCAAUAAAGUAUUGAUUUCUAGAAGUCCAGUUGUUUUCUGGGUACAUGUCAAAGCUAGUGGGAGCAUAAGUGUUAUGCUAUUAAUCAUCAUGUUAGUGGGAGCAUUAUAAUUAUGAUAAAGGUUGCAAGUUAGUAAUGUUAAUUAUAGAAAAACAAAAGUUCCAUUGGGAAAAGUUGUUUUGCUAUAAUUAAGGGAGCGAAAAUUAUACUUCAUUUCAAGUCUAAAAGCUUAGAUUGAGGUUUUAAUCAAAUUUAGUCAAGGAUAUAUAUAUAUAUAUAUAUAUGAAUGUUAUGUUGAAAAGAUUUGAGAUANNNNNNNNNNNNNNNNNNNNNNNNNNNNNNNNNNNNNNNNNNNNNNNNNNNNNNNNNNNNNNNNNNNNNNNNNNNNNNNNNNNNNNNNNNNNNNNNNNNNNNNNNNNNNNNNNNNNNNNNNNNNNNNNNNNNNNNNNNNNNNNNNNNNNNNNNNNNNNNNNNNNNNNNNNNNNNNNNNNNNNNNNNNNNNNNNNNNNNNNNNNNNNNNNNNNNNNNNNNNNNNNNNNNNNNNNNNNNNNNNNNNNNNNNNNNNNNNNNNNNNNNNNNNNNNNNNNNNNNNNNNNNNNNNNNNNNNNNNNNNNNNNNNNNNNNNNNNNNNNNNNNNNNNNNNNNNNNNNNNNNNNNNNNNNNNNNNNNNNNNNNNNNNNNNNNNNNNNNNNNNNNNNNNNNNNNNNNNNNNNNNNNNNNNNNNNNNNNNNNNNNNNNNNNNNNNNNNNNNNNNNNNNNNNNNNNNNNNNNNNNNNNNNNNNNNNNNNNNNNNNNNNNNNNNNNNNNNNNNNNNNNNNNNNNNNNNNNNNNNNNNNNNNNNNNNNNNNNNNNNNNNNNNNNNNNNNNNNNNNNNNNNNNNNNNNNNNNNNNNNNNNNNNNNNNNNNNNNNNNNNNNNNNNNNNNNNNNNNNNNNNNNNNNNNNNNNNNNNNNNNNNNNNNNNNNNNNNNNNNNNNNNNNNNNNNNNNNNNNNNNNNNNNNNNNNNNNNNNNNNNNNNNNNNNNNNNNNNNNNNNNNNNNNNNNNNNNNNNNNNNNNNNNNNNNNNNNNNNNNNNNNNNNNNNNNNNNNNNNNNNNNNNNNNNNNNNNNNNNNNNNNNNNNNNNNNNNNNNNNNNNNNNNNNNNNNNNNNNNNNNNNNNNNNNNNNNNNNNNNNNNNNNNNNNNNNNNNNNNNNNNNNNNNNNNNNNNNNNNGUACAUUGAUUGCACGAAAACGCAUUUGGUAACUCGGUGCUAUAAAACGUGCCUUUGUGUAUGAUUCAACAAGUAGUAGAACAAGCCAUAUGAGUCGAAGUUUAUCCAUUCCUUUUACCUUCGGGAUAAAAGCGAUAUCUGUGGGCCCCUCGAUGAUUUGAUGAUGACAAAUGGAAGUGCUCGGCCGGGCCAGGACUGAUUUGAUUUGUUCAAUUAGUCAGUCGUCAUAAAUCGGAAAUCGGGAAACAACAAAUGGACAGAGAGAAUGAUUAUAAUCCAUGUCUCAGUCCAUAUGAUAUCUAGAAUGGAGGAAUAUAUGAUCCCUUAUCUAAUGGACAAGUUCGUUGACAAGAUCAGAGUUCGACAGCAGCUUUAGAGCUACGAUUGCCAGUUAGGUUUUGAAGUCAUACGCAAUAAUAGUUUUAGACUUAUCCAAGUGGGAGACUGUUGGAUUAAUGUCUAAGUCCAUAACUAUAUUUGGUAUGUACUUGACCCGACCCGGCAUGGUCCAUUUGGGUUGCACUUCACCGGCACAAUUUAUAUGGAUAGUCUUUUGAGAAUAGUAUAUUUAUGAUUUAUGUUAAUAUAUUAUAAGUUCUAAUAUAUUAAUAUAUAAUCAUAUUAUUUAAUUAGUAUUAAUCAAGAAUUAGUUUAUAAUUAAUUAAGUGAUCAAAAUGAACUAAUUAAAUAUAGACUGUUAUAUAUAUGGAAUGCGUCAAGUUCAUUUAGGUUGGGCUAAGCUUUCAUGGAGUGUUUAACCCGUGGAUCAUAUAAAAUGAAAGGUCAUGGGUUUAACCCUAGUCUCCAUACUAUAUAAAGAUGUCCUUGGUUGGUGAAAUUGGCACUAGUGUGGUUACACUAAGAGGGCUAGCCGAUUUCACUAGAGAGAACCAAGUAUCCAUAUUCUCUAAAGUCUUCCAAGGUGUCUUGGUGAUUUGUGAUUCCACUUGAGGCUUCCACACUAUUGGGGCUAAGCUCUUAAAGCUUGAAGACAUCAAGCUACAUCAAAAGGUAUGUCAUCUAACUAGUACUUUGUAGUAUAAGAGCUUCAGAAUAUGCUAGUUAGGAUUAAAACCUUGGAAAGUUCUUAUUUGCAUGUAUAAUAGAGAAAACAUAGAUCCAAGGUUUAUAAGGUUUGGCUGUACACAAUAUGGCUGUUAGAAUGCUAGAAACCCAACAAAUGCUAACCUUAUGAUUCCUUAUUGUAUACAUCAAGAGAUAUAUAUAUUAAUAAUAUUCGAUAUCUAAUAGGAUAUGUGCUUUGUGCUUCAUUUCAUGUUCCUUGUUUGGUUGUGGGCAUAGAGCGGAUUCACCCAGCCUAUUUUCCAUUUGAUUUCAGUAAUAUAUAUGUUUCGUAUACAUUAAGUCAUCAUAAGGGGUACCAGGUAUGGGUCAGGUAAUAGGACACAAAUUCAAUGCACAAUUUUCUAGUACAAAACAUACUUUUCAAAUAAAACAUUUUGUAGACAAAAAUAGAAACUUACCAGUAAAGGGUUUAAUCCAUUUUAUUAAACCAAUAUAACUUAAAGGACCGUAGGUGAUUAACUCUAUNGAAUCACUUCAAGGAUUUUAUCACGAGUGAUCAUGAGACGAUAAUAUCUUAUAUUCUUCAAACCUAGAGAUAUGAGUUGUUACUAUGAGUUGGUUGUACAUUGAUUGCAAGAAAAUGCAUUCAGUAACUCGGUGUUAUAAAACGUGCCUUUCUGUAUGAUUCAACAAGUAGUAGAACAAGUCAUACGAGUCGAAGUGUAUCCAUUCCUUUUACCUUUGGUAUAAAAGAGAUAUCUAUGGGCCCCUCGAUGAUUUAAUUGCGACACAUGUGAGUGCUUGGCCAAGCCAGGACUGAUUUGAUUUGUUCAAUCAGUCAGUUGUCAUGAAUCGGAAAUCGGGAAACAACAAAUGGAUAGGGAGAAUGAUUAUAAUCCAUGUCUCAGUCCAUAUGAUAUCUAGAAUGGAGGAAUAUAUGAUCNNNNNNNNNNNNNNNNNNNNNNNNNNNNNNNNNNNNNNNNNNNNNNNNNNNNNNNNNNNNNNNNNNNNNNNNNNNNNNNNNNNNNNNNNNNNNNNNNNNNNNNNNNNNNNNNNNNNNNNNNNNNNNNNNNNNNNNNNNNNNNNNNNNNNNNNNNNNNNNNNNNNNNNNNNNNNNNNNNNNNNNNNNNNNNNNNNNNNNNNNNNNNNNNNNNNNNNNNNNNNNNNNNNNNNNNNNNNNNNNNNNNNNNNNNNNNNNNNNNNNNNNNNNNNNNNNNNNNNNNNNNNNNNNNNNNNNNNNNNNNNNNNNNNNNNNNNNNNNNNNNNNNNNNNNNNNNNNNNNNNNNNNNNNNNNNNNNNNNNNNNNNNNNNNNNNNNNNNNNNNNNNNNNNNNNNNNNNNNNNNNNNNNNNNNNNNNNNNNNNNNNNNNNNNNNNNNNNNNNNNNNNNNNNNNNNNNNNNNNNNNNNNNNNNNNNNNNNNNNNNNNNNNNNNNNNNNNNNNNNNNNNNNNNNNNNNNNNNNNNNNNNNNNNNNNNNNNNNNNNNNNNNNNNNNNNNNNNNNNNNNNNNNNNNNNNNNNNNNNNNNNNNNNNNNNNNNNNNNNNNNNNNNNNNNNNNNNNNNNNNNNNNNNNNNNNNNNNNNNNNNNNNNNNNNNNNNNNNNNNNNNNNNNNNNNNNNNNNNNNNNNNNNNNNNNNNNNNNNNNNNNNNNNNNNNNNNNNNNNNNNNNNNNNNNNNNNNNNNNNNNNNNNNNNNNNNNNNNNNNNNNNNNNNNNNNNNNNNNNNNNNNNNNNNNNNNNNNNNNNNNNNNNNNNNNNNNNNNNNNNNNNNNNNNNNNNNNNNNNNNNNNNNNNNNNNNNNNNNNNNNNNNNNNNNNNNNNNNNNNNNNNNNNNNNNNNNNNNNNNNNNUCUUUGUUUUAUAUAUAUAUAUAUAGAUAUAUAUAUAUAUAUAUAUAUAUAUAUAUGUUCCGUAUAUAUUAAGUCAUCAUAAGGAGUACUAGUUAUGGGUCAGGCCAUAGGACACUAAUUCAAUGCAUAAUUUUCUAGUACAAAACAUACUUUUCAAUUCAGAACUUUUGAUAUACAAAACUAGAAACUUACUAGUAUAGGAUUCAAUCCAUUUUAUUAAACCAUCAUAACUUAAAGGACCUUAGGUUGUUAAAUCUACAAUACGUUAGUUUAAACAUCAAGUUUAUAUAUAAUUAAUAUCCAAUUGGUGGUUGGAUGUAUGAUUUCUGCCUCAUUCCAUGUUCCUUGUUUUGUUGUGGGCUUAGGGUAGAUUCACACAAUUAACUAUCUGUUAGAUAUUAGAUUAUAUAUAGCUAGUAUAAACUAAGUGAUUAUAGAAGGAACCACUGUGGUUACUAUUUUAUUAUAAGAAAUAAGGGUUUUCUUAAAGAAUCUUUUCAUAAAUUAUAAAGGAACUAUUACAAUUAACUCUGUGACUACCAAGGGAAUACGCCAAGGUUAUAUAUAACAAGAACCUAACAACCAAUGGGAUGUGUGUCACCCGCCUCGUUUCUUGUUCCUUCAUUGGUUUUCGGCUUAGGGCAUAUACAUACAAUCGAUUGUUUGUUUACUCUGUGUUUUAUAUAACUUGUAUUCAUUUAGUACUCACAGAAAGGAUUGUAGAGUCAUUUUUACUUAUCUUUCAUCAAACUAGGAAUAUAGGAUUUCUGGAGGAACAGAUGAACUUUUCUAAAUAAAACUUACAAUUUACUACAACUUACUAAGCUUUCUAGAACAUACAUAAAUCACUAAAAUCUUAUGAACUCACCAGCUUAAUUGCUGAUCAACUCUUUUAAAUAACUUGUAUUCUCAGGAAACUAGUAGGCAUGUACUUGCACUGGGAAUUCAGAAGAUGGAGCAGUAUAGCUCCAAGUCUUGUUUUUCUAUUUACUUAUGUAUUCUACGUUUUGUGAACACAUACUUUUUAAACACUUUCUUUAAAAUGAAGUGGUUUUUUAUUACUUCGCUUACUAUGAUGCAUGUCUUGUGAUACUAAACAUGACGUCCUCCACCCCAGAACGUUUCCGCUGUUCCGGUUUUGGGGUGUGACACCCAUAUCCUUUUACUUGAUAUUUGUGAUUGUUUCACAACUUCACAACACCAGCACUGUCCAAACUUCUGAAAUCUCUCAAAUUCUCCUUUCUCCUAAUCAUGUGAUGUAACCAACCACUAACGAUGUACCAUUUCUCAUCAUAUUGCUCGUUAUACAGUACUUGCAAUCAUUAAAAGGAUUUAGGUACCCAAGGCUGUUUGGGUCCUUCGUUAUUAGUUUGAAAAAGUGAAUGAUGUUUAGAACCUGAAGCCUAAUUUUGAACUUUCGUUUUGAAAGUAUCAAUUAAGUCGACAUCAUCAGUUAAAUAUAUUGAAAAAUAAUUUUUUUUUUAUAGUUUUGAACUUUCAGUAACGGUCUUCUCAUGCUUCUCAUUGUGCUUGUUCUUUGAUAUUGGUUGCCAUUUUUCAAUUGGAGUAUUUGAUUCUUUCGAAGAUGAAUUUCUAGAUGAAGUAUCAUUCAAAUACUGUUCAUCGGCCUUCUGGAUUUGAUAUUGAGAAAACUUUCCGGUUUGAUACUUUUUCCCUGUCUUCUCAAGCAAAUGAUUGAUUGUUGCCACCUCAGAUGAACCUUUUGUGUUUGAAACCUUAGUGGCUUGUUUUGUAGAUGGAUUCGGAAAAUUUGGUUUUUGUGGAGUAAAUUUUCGAAUGUUUUCAUUUGAGUGACCUUGAGCUUGUGGGUUAGGGAUAAUAAUUGGAGGAGGUGGAGGAAGUGAAGUUCCAAGAGAUUUGGGAUGAUCAUAGAUGUCUGAACCAGACAUCUUUUGGGAGAUAUUCAAGAUAGUUGAUCUAAAGUCCUUAAUAUAACACCCAAUAUGAAAUAUUAAGGCUAGGACCCAAAAAAAACUAUUUUAUAACUUGGAAGAGAGAUGAUGUAAUCCAAGCUAUAAAAUAUUUGAAGGUAGGUGAAUGACGAUUCACCAAUUUCCACCAAGAUAAACGAAAUGUAUUAUUAGGUUUUAUAUGGUUUUGAAACUCCUAGAUUCUUUUGAGAUUCAUUGAACUUUUCAAAGGCAUGUUUCAAUCUUGAGUGUGCCCUUCAGGUUUUGUGAAUGGGAUGCCGAUGAUAACAAAACAAGGUGUGAGUAACCAUGCAAAUGUACUUGGUACCCUUAACAUUUACCCCUCAACUGAUGUGUCGGUUAAUCACACACGCUCCAUCGACACUGUGAUAAACAUUAAGUUACCCUUCGUCUACCUUGUUAAAUAAAGCUAGUGUGUCGGUUAACCACACACGCUCCACUAACUGACAUAAGCAAAUUGCAAAGUGUAAUUUCAUGGGUUAGCACCAAAUCCACAUUUUCCUAAGUAAUAAGAUUGGGUAUUAAUAAGAGUUUAGUUACUUAGUAUUUAUCAUUAGUACUUUUAAUGAAGGGAGAAUUAUAGUCCUUGUCCUACCCGUUCAGCUAACAACCUCCACCGGUCAAGGAAGCGGUGGGUGAGAGUGGACACCCAUUAAACUGUCAUUUUAUAGGCAGUAACCUUAUACUCCCUUUAUAAAUUGGUUUCGUGAAUGAGGCCAACUAAUUGUAAGACGACUUUACUCUUAUAUAUAUAUNUAUAUAUAUAUAUAUAUUAUUAACUUAUAAUAUUAUAAAGUAUCAUGGUUGAAUUUUAACUUUUAAAAUUCUAAGGGCUUAACAUGGAAUUAAAGUAUUCAUAAGUGAAAACUUUAUAAAUUCCAAAACUUGAGGGCGAGUUUUUGAAACUAUUCAAAACUUUUCAUUACAUAACUUAUGAGUUUAAUGGUUCAUUAAAAUGAAGACUCUUCAUUUUUUUUAUGUAACAUCUUAUUCUUUAAUAACACUUUUAAAGAAGUGACUCUUAAACAUCCAUAACUUGAGGACAAGUUAUGGAGUCAUAAUACUACUUAAUUAAAAAAACUCUUCACUUUCUAUGUAACCAAUGGCACUUUUAUGAGUUUUAAGAUUUAUAAAUGUGACAUUUUAUCUAACACGAGGACAAGUUACAAAAACACAUUUUAUGAACUACCUCCAGAUUAAUUAGGAUUGAAAACAACUAAAACAUAAUUUUUUUCAUUAAUCUAAACUAACUCAUAAAUCAAGGUAACAUAAAACUCUUGGUAAUCUAUAACUUAUGGACUUAAAUGCUUGUUUUAUGAUGAAACUUUUCAUGUUCCAUUACUUAAGAUUAAGUUAUGGAAUUCUUUAAAUCAUUAACACCAAAUUUUGUAACUCCAUAAAAACUUUCAAUCAAUUUUUUUUUAAAACCUUUUCAUACCCAUAACUUAUGGAGGUUUCAACAAAAGAACUCGUUAGAUCAAACUUUUAAAACUUAUAAAAUAAUCAUAUCAUUUUAUCUUUUAUUAAAUUUGACCUAGUUCAACUCAUAUAUCAAAUGAUUUAAAUUUUAUAAAUAAUUAGUUUUUCACAAAAACAAGUAAUUAUCAUAAAAUUUGACAAACGUCAUGUUUUUUUUUUCCUUUUUUCAACAUUGAAAAUAAAAAAUUUGCAUCAAUAUAGCAAAAAAUAACCCAUGGCUCUGAUACUAGUAUUAGGUUUUGAGCAUUCUAACACUCCUAAGUGUACAUGCAACCCUAAAUACCUUGGAUCUAUGUUUUCUCUAUUAUACAUACAAAUAUGAAUAACCAAGGUAUUAUCCUAACUAGCAUACCAAAACAUUGAUACUAGGGUAAUAAAAUAGAUAGAAUACAUACCUUGUUGUUGUAACUUGUCUUAAUGAAGCUUGAGUGCCUAGUGCCCCAACUGUGACACCUCAAAUGGUUCACACAACACCAUGAACACUUGGAAUAAUCUUGAGAAUAAGGAUACUUUGGCUCUCUCUAGUGAAAUCGGCCUUGCCCUUUUGUGUACACACACUAGUCUCAAUUUCACCAACCAAGGACAUCUUUAUAUAGUGUGGAGAUUAGAGUUAAUUCCUAAUACCCAUGACCUUUCAUUUCAUAUGAUCCAUGGGUUAAGCACUCCAUGGACUAUCCAUGAAAGUUUACCCCAACCUAAAUGAACUUGGCCCAUCAGACAUAUACAUCUAAGAGUCCAUAUUUAAUUAGUUCCUUUUGAUCACCUAAUUAAUUGCAAAUUAAUUCUUGAUCAAUGCUAAUUAAAUAAUAUGAUUAUAUAUUAUAAUAUUAGAACUUAUAAUAUAUUAAUAUAAAUCACUAGUAUCCUUUUUCCACAUCUUGUCUAUCCAAUUGUCCCGAUUCCAUGCAACCCAAAUGGACCAUGCCGUGUCGGGUCAAGUCUUACCAAUUAUAGUUAUGGACUUAUACAUUAAUCUAACACGUUUCUGGGAAGGAGUUUACUUGAUGAAAAACCGGCUUUACUCAGCCAGAGUUUCUGCUACAAGAUAAAAAACUUCGGGGCUUACUUUGGGUUUUUGAUAUGAUAUCGAGGCUUCGGAGGGUUGUAAGUAUGUUGGUGGGACUGAAAGAAGUGAAAAAGUGUGAAAAGUGUUCUAAAAGAGGAGUGAAAAGCGGAGAAUCUCUCACUCUUUAAAUAGGUGCAAGGGUUCGGUCCGAAGGGGGGAGGAGGCGACACCUUUUCGGACAACUGGCGAAGGUGAGAGCAGGUGGCGGCUUCGGAUGCGAGGCGCGUCGGUUUCUCAUUGGGUCACAUCUUUUGAUGAAUCAUCGAUGGACACAAGUCGGACAUGCGGUGAUCUCGCAUGUGAGGUGAUGCGCUAGAUCCCAGCCAUGCGAAUUUUCCCGGUUUUCAAGAUUUUUCGGUUUUUGUGCCUAAAGCUUGCGAAAUUCAUAAGAUUCGCAUAUGAGCUCCGUUUUCAACGUUAUUUAUAUGCACGCGUAGGUGAAAUUAUACUCUACGACUUUUGUUUAGAUUGCUUCGGCUAUUUUUGACUUUAUUUUUAAUAUUAUUAUUUUUAACAAACCCCGAUACAAAAAUCUGUUAAAAAUUCAUAACUUAUUUAUCCGAGGUCCAUUUUCAUCUGUCUUUUACCGUUGUACUACUAUUGACGACACCUGCGAUUCUCGUUUAGGUUGUGUUAGCUAAAAAUCAUAGGAUCUUUAUUUCGAGUUUUUAGUUGUAUACUGUUAUAUUGAAUUUUAGAAAAAUCAUAACUUCCUCAUACGAAGUCAGAUUUUGACGUUCUUUUUAUAAGUGUUCUCGGUUUAACUUACUCUACAACUUACAUUCAGAUUGUUAAGGAUCAAAAGCCUUUUAUUGAAAACUCACUUUUUUACGCUGAACAGUGGUUUGCCCGUUUUGUCGCGGAUAUUCGUUUGGUCACAACUACUUCUUCAUAACUCGGAUUUUAGUGUUCUUGAUAUUUUUGAAAACCUUGUUACAAUCUCUAUCACUUUAUUCACCCCAAUCAAGAUUAUUUAUUACUUCAUUUUUGACGGUCGAUUAUGUAAAUAAACAUAGUAUACAAAAAUUUCUCUUUAUUAUUUUAAAAAGAACUAGAAAUUUAUCUAUACUAUUACACAGUUUCAAAAUAACGGGUUUUUACAUAUUGAUAUUAUUUUUUGUUUGGUUGGAAUUGACUUUUCUUUAUUAUAAUUGAAAUUCAGUAAUAGAGUAUAACUCUAUCUUCUCUUUGGUAUUCUGUUUGGAAUAUCAACCGAUCAAUUUCUGUUUGGUAUAGAUUAAUAUAUUCCUUUUGUUGCUAAAAUAUUAUAUUUUACAAGUAAUAAUUUACAAGUUACAUAUAUCUGGUAUCAAUAGAGAAAAGUGGAAGUAUAUUGAUAUUGUAAUUACAAAAUAUUUUUUUCAUUUUAAAAAAUGAUUACUUGGCAUUAUGUGUAUAUUUAUUCAUUUUAAUUUCCGUAUAGCUAACUUUUGUUUGUUUUUUUUUCACGUUUUGUCCUUAGAAAUAUGUGGCUUUUAAUUUAUCUUAAUUAUAUUCAUAUACAUAUAAGCUUUGAAGUAGACAUGAAGGCUUAGUGGUUAGUGGUUACAUGACAGAUCAAUUGUUACGUAUGUUGUUUAAAAGUUCAUAGAAUGCCUUCUUCCAGAUGAGGAAGUUAGAGGUUGGUUGUGAUGAGCUUUUGGAUUCCUUUAGAAAUGGUGUGGUAAAUAGGAAAAAUGCAUCCUUUUUUCGUUCUGUUUUUAACUUCAUGUACACAAUACAAGAUGGUGUUUAUAACCAUGACAUCUUAAAAUUUGAUGUUUUUUGUAGGUAAAUAAUCCUAAAAAUGAAAGUGGUUCGACUCGUGAGAUGAGAAAAAAAACCUAUUAAUUUUAUAGACAACAUCACAUAGUAGAAUGUUAUAAUUGAGUUUUUAAUGUAAAAUGUCCUAAUAAGAAAAAAAAAACUAUCAUCAUGUGAAGCCCGGGAUCAUCUACUAGUUAUACAAUUAUUUAAACUUAAAAAGUUAAAUAUACGGCAACCGCGUUUUUUUUCCUAAAUACUAAAAUAUAAUAUAUCAAUCUAUUGUGUCUUAGUUUAUCAUGGGUUAGUAAAAAAGUAUUUUUUAAAUUUAUUUUAAUAACAUUUAAGUUAAUAAAUUUGUUAAGUAAUAAGAAUUUACCUAAAUAAACUUAUAUAUUUUGCUUUAAAUAAACAACCCAACGUAAGAAUACCACUGAGCUUGUUUUAGAAUAACAUGUGUUCAUUAUUUAUUAGUGCACAUACAAGCAUGGAUUACAUUUUCAGUUACCUGGGACAUGCCGCAAAUUUACUAUUCCAAUAUUCUGAGUUUAUAAGGAUUUAAUUUAUAUAAAGCAAUAAUAGAAAUAUAAAAUUGUGAUUGAAAAAAAAAACAAAAUCAUGCAUUCUAUGUCCAUAAAAGAACAACCUAAAGUGGUCCGGUUUUUGGUUAAGGUAAAUCAAGAAUUUCGAAUUUUGAGUUUUCGGUCUAAUUAGUUCAUCAGGUUGUUUGGGUUAGGGCUAUUGCUCUUUCCUAUCUUUAUCAUGAAUCUGUCUUUAGAAUGGUACUAAUUUAGUCCAUGUAAUUUAAUUUAUAUUUUUAGACAAGUUUUUAACAGUAAAGUGGUUACUCUAAACUGACUUAAAGACUUACAUAUAAUGGAGUUAGAUAAAAAGUCAACAUGCUUAAGAAAAUGAAAACGUUUUGGAUGUAUUGAAUAUACAUCUUAGGAGUUUCUAGCUUCUAGGUUUCAAGAAAAUGCUCGUAAAAAAAGAUUUAUUCGGGAAACAGGAGCAUUUAACUUUUAGUCAAUACAAAACGCUACAAAAUAAAAAGCUACAGGGAGAAGCUUUUAACAAAACGUUUCAAAAUUAAACGCUACCAGCUACUCGCUACCCAUUAUCCGCUACUUUUACCAAACACGCCCUUUGAUUACUAGUAUCAAAUUGUUAAAACAUGGACUACAACUCUACAAGUACUGUUGGAGAUUACGUCGAAAAAUCCAAUUUUCUCUAAAGUAUAGGUUAACACAUAGCAUUUUUUCUUAGGGUAAAAUCGUCAUCGUAAAAAAUAUAACAUAAUUAGUUUUAACUACCCAAUGUUUAAAUGGGAAAUAAAAAGGAAAAAUAAUGAUGACAUUACGAUAAUUUCAAAUAUUGACCGAACUUGCCAAUUUUUGUAUACGACAGGGACCAAAUACGUAAAAUAUUUUAGGAAUAUUGAGUCAAAAACAUAAUCUAACACUUUACCAGGAAGUUCUAAUUUAAAACAUAAUUCUCGCUAAAGUUAAUCAUGAUAACAAUGUCCCCCACGUUUUGUACGAUGUUAUUGAGAAACUACAAAGCUUUUCUCCCAAUCAUGUGACGUGAGCAACCAAUAACGAUGUACCAUUUCUCAUCAUAUUGCUCGUCAUACAGUACCUGCAAUCAUUAAAGGAAUUUAGGUAUCCAAGGCUGUUUGGGUCCUUGGUUAUUAGUUUAAAAAAGUGAAUGAAGUUUAGAACCUAAAGCCCAAUUUUGAACUUUCGUUUUGAAAGUAUCAAUUAAGUCGUCAUCAUCAGUUAAAUAUAUUGAAACAAAAUUUUUUAUAGUUUUGAACUUUCAGUAACGGUCUUCUCAUGCUUCUCAAUGUGUUUGUUCUUUGAUAUUGGUUGCCAUUUUUGGAUUGGAGUAUUUGAUUCUUUCGAAGAUGAACUUCCAGAUGAAGUAUCAUUUAAAUACUGUUCAUAGGCCUUCUGGAUUUGAUAUUGAGAAAACUUUCCCGAUUGAUACUUUUUCCCUGUGUUCUCAAGCAAAUGAUUGAUUGUUGCCACCUCAGAUGAACCUUUUGUGUAUGAAACCUUAGUGGCUUGUUUUGUAAAUGGAUUCGGAAAAUUUGGUUUUUGUGGAGUAAACUUUCGAAUGUUUUCAUUUGACUGACCUUGAGCUUGUGGGUUAAGGAGAAUAAUUGGAUGAGGUGGAGGAAGUGAAGUUCCAAGAGAUUUGGGAGGAUCAUAGAUGUCUGAACCAGACAUCUUUUGGGAGAUAUUCAAGAUAGUUGAUCUAAAGUCCUUAAUAUAACACCCAAUAUGAAAUAUUAAGGUUAGGACCCAACAAACUAUUUUAUAACUUGGAAGAGGGAUGUCGUAAUCCAAGCUAUGAAAUAUUUGAAGGUAGGUGAAUUACGAUUCACCAUUUUCCACCAAGAUAAACGAAAUGUAUUAUUAGGUUUUAUAAGGUUUUGAAACUCCUAGAUUCUUUUGAGAUUCAUUGAACUUUUCAAAGGCAUGUUUCAAUCUCGAGUGUGCCCGUCAGGUUUUGUGAAUGGGAUGCCGAUGAUCACAAAACAAGGUGUGAGUAACCAUGCAAGUAUACUUGGUACCCUUAAUAUUUACCCCUCAAUUGAUGUGUCGGUUAACCACACACGCUCCAUCGACACUGUGAUAAACAUUAAGUUACCCUUUGACUACCUUGUUAAAUCAAACUAGUGUGCCGGUUAACCACACACGCUCCACUAACUGACAUAAGCAAAGUGCAAAGUGUAAUUUCAUGGGUUAGCACCAAAUUCACAUUUUCCUAAGUAACUAAGAUUGGGUAUUAAUAAGAUUUUAGUUACUUAGUAUUUAUCAUUAAUACUUUUAAUGAAGGGAGAAUUAUAGUCCUUGUCCUACCCGUUCGGCUAACAACCCUCCACCGGUCAAG